rnacentral:lncRNA from 1 species
GAUUUUGUUUGAAUGAUUCCCAUGAACUAUUCACUAAAGACUCUUGCUUCUCGGUGAAACCCAUAUUUCCCUUCUUCUUUUUUAAUUUUAAUUUUUUUUGUAUUUUUUGUGUUUGUAUUGUCGUUGUGAUAAUUUUACAUAUGACACUUGUUUAUAUAGAGAACUUGAAGGGUGAAACACAUGUAGUAUAUUAAUGUGCUUGUUUUUUUUUUAAAGAAUCUAUUGGCUUGUGGCGGUGACCAUUAAAAUUAUUAAGAGACAAGAAUCUUUCCAAAAACUUAAUAAUAUUUUUUAUUAAAUAAACUUUUCUUCUUCAUGAUUUAGGGUCAAUUUUGACCCAAAAAUCACCCAUUCGAAUUGUUUUUUCUUCUAUUUUAAUUGAAUAAGUGAUUUCACAUAUUUUCUGUUUUCUUUCGUUUGAUUUUGUGAUUUCGUCGUCUUUGAACGACUCUGUUUGUUUUGAUUUCCCGUCUUUGUGCGGUGUGUUUUUUAUUUCCUGUCUUAGUGCGGUGUUUAUUUGAUUCAGGUUGAGAUUAACUUUGAGCAAGUGCAGAUCCGAUCAAUGACAAUGACUUGUCGUCGUCAACGUUACAGAUCUGGAGACAUGAGUAUUCCAGAGACAUCAAUAUAGUCAUAUUAGUCAUAUUUGUAGGCAUAAGUACUUUGUCGUUUUAUGCUAUUAACUUGGAUAUUGUGACUUGUGAGUUUGUUCACAAAUUCAUCCUUUUUGUUUUUAGCGAAUUUGGAUUUGUAUUGUAUCGAUGUACUCUAUCAAUUUGAAUGAAUGAAUAUCGUUUAUUUUUGUAAAAAAAAAUUAUUAAAUAAAGUAACAACUUUUAAAUUUUUUAAAAUAAACUAAACAUUAAUAUAUAUAUAUAUUAUUCCAUUUAAACAAACGUUUUUUUUUUACAAGCCAUUUAAACAAACGUUAUUAUUAGUUAAUCGAAUUCAAAACAUUAACAAUAGUAACGUUAAAACAACUUGUAAAAAAAAAAAAGUAACGUUAAAACAAUAUUGCGUAAUUUUUAAAAUUUCUUUGAAAUAUAAAAAAGGGCUAAUUAUAUUUUUUUGUCCCUACAAAAUCACGAAUUUUCAAGUUUAUAAAAUUUUAAUAGUAAUUUUACAAGUAAAAACUCCACCAUACUCUCACCAUUUUCUUCCUAUAAUUUUUUUUUUUGGUACAAUCCUUCCUAUAUUUCUCCCUUGUAACAAAGUGUGGUUGUUUGAAAACAACAUAGGUAAAUUAAGGAGCCCAAAUUUAACACUAGAAUUUAAGUUGGAAAACUUUAAAAUAAUAGAAUAGAAUAACUAUUAAAAUGACCAUUAGCUAGUGAAACUUUAAUUAAUUAAAAAUUUCCCUUUUCCAUUUUUUAAAUUUAUAUUAUAUUUAUUAUUAGAAAAAAUCAGUCUCCGUUCGAUACAUUUUCUGGAUCCAUUCCAGUGUGGGUGUUCUUUCAUUCUAACCAACUCCAAAAAUAUCCACCUUAAUUGAAAAUGAUACAUAUUAUACUAAUUGUAUACACCAACAAUAUUAAUAGUUCAAAAGAACUAUCAUACUUCAUCGCAAAAAGUUUACUCCACUUAAAGCUAAACCACUUAAAUAAUAUCUAUAUGUUUGAUGGUGCAAACUCUCAACCAAACAUAAGCCAAGUCUUUCUUAGCUAGUACCUUUUUAAAACAUCAUCUUGUGAGUAAUGCCUUAACAUCUUGUUUUAUGAUAAAUACUUGCGGUCUAACCGUUUCUUUUGCGGAUUCAAUAGUUGUUGCGAUCAAAAGAGUGUUUUGUUUUUGUUUACCUAGCAAAUUGUAGGUUGUUUGCCGCUUCGUGCUUAUUCGUGCAUCAAGAGUGUCGUGCUAUAUAGCACCACUCUUUGUAUAAAGAAUAAGUCGGAGUUGGAUCUUACGAGUGUGAACUCCAUCUCAUUCUAGUUCAAUUUAUGUUUUGAAUUGAAUAAAAGAAACAAUUUGGUUAUGUGAAUUGUUUUAACAAUAUUCAAUUUAUUCUAGGUUCACACUUCAGUUUAUUUCUUAACUUUUUUUUUUCAACAGGCUUAUAUAUGGAAGGCUGGUGGGUGAGUGGUAUUGAAGAACACAUGAAGUUCUCAAAUGCAACUUAAUUAUUGGUAAUGGAAAAUGGCGACUUCAAUAUUUCACUAAUACCGUAAAAAAACUUGAUUUAGUAUUGAUUUUAUAAGUGGAAGUUUAUAUAGGUAUUUAGACUUGUUUUUAAAGGUGGUUUUUGAGUUAGAUUCUUCUCACUGUGCUUUUAUUUUUUUGCGAGGGUAUUCACUUGCAUAUUGAAUUUGAUUACAUUUUAAUAAAAUGAUUGUUCAUGAGUGAUCACUUGCAUAAUGAGUUUGAUAAUAACUUUAAUAAAAUGAUUAUUCAUACAAAAAUGGAACAUGCAACCAAUCCGAUCAACAUUGUGCACACAAUAAAUCCCAAAACUAUAGAGCACAACAAUCCAAUAUUUUAACAAGAUGAUAAAAUUACUCGAUUAUUAUCUCAAGUCUUAGCUUCUCCUCCUUUAACCUAAUUAAUAGGAUAAUGCUUAGAUUAUUCAAAUGUGUAUAAGCAUGUUCCAUCAUCACUUCUAGCAGUUGGGUCGAAGUUUUUGGCAUUUGGAUCCGUACAACCUUCAGGAAUAGGAAUAUUUACUUGUUGAGCUGCCUUACCUGCAUAGAAAAUCAAAUAAAAAAAAGGUUACAUUACACGUAUUAUUUUAUCCAAUAUAAUACAUACUUUUUGAGUUUAAAUAAUUUUUACUGUUCAUUUUAGUCCUUAUAAAAAUAUUCUGUUCAAAAUAAUCUAUAACAUUAUUUUUUUUCCCUUCCAUUUUGGUCUAUGAUUGAUUCUUUGAGAAUUGAAAUAUUUUGCAACUGGUCCUUAUAAAUUUGUUUUCAGUUCCUUGGUCCCUAGUCCCUAUAAUUUACCUUUCAUUAAAAAGAAGCAAAAGAUAUCCAGGACAUUUUUAAACAAUUUUUUUAUAAGGACUUGGAAAAAACACAGUAUAUUAUAUGGAAAAAAAAUUAAGUCUACUUCCCAAGUUCAAUUUUGAUGUGGUACAUAUUAUAAAGAGUUUGAUGUGGGAAAUGCGUUAUUAUAUAUAUUUUAAAAUCUUCUACUAUUUGAUCAAUGUUUAAUAUGUAUGCAUGUUUAGAUUGGGAAAAAAAUAUAUUUUUCAAUAAUUAUUUAAGAGUUUUGAUAGGUUCCGUACAAUUUUGUAAAAAAAAGAUGAGAAUCUAUCUAUAUUCAGGUAAAUAUAGCAUUGUAAGAUGUUCAAUAAAAGAAUCGACCGGUUGUGCCUGAUCGUACACAUUAAAGGACUUGGGGUUAUAAGUAUUUAUUAGCCGUUCAAUGCGUUAGGUCGAAGUCGAAUCACAAAUUGAGUCUAGACUUAGGUUGUAUAUUACUUUGCAUCUUUCUCCUUUUAAUUGUUUGUAAAACUUUACCAUUAUGAUUUACUUAUGCAUUUUUCCUAAGUAUUUCAAGAGGCUGUGUUUUUUUAUCUUCUUGUGGUCAAGUAGUUUAGUGGUUGGAGCUCACACAUUUUAAAUGUAGAGAAAUGAGGUGUCUAGGAUUCGAACCCUAACCCAUAUAUAUUUUAUGCAAUGUCUCUACUAAAUGAGCUAAGCUCAUGGGGACGCAAAUCGCGUUAUGUUUAAUCAAUACCUAUUCACACUUCAAAUGUUUUCACGUCCAUUAUUUCUUCUAUAAACAAAAGUUGUAUUCAUUAUGGUAACAAACACAACAUAGAUUAUAUGUUUUGACUAUAUCUCUAAAUCAUUUUGUUUUAUAAUAAAUGUAAUAAACUGGCUUAAAGCUAAGAGAUAAAAGAUCAAACCAUAGAAAGAUCCACUCUUGAUAGCAUCUUGAUUAGCAUCACCAAGAGCAGCCCCUUCCAAAUACUUGUCUGCCAAUUGAACUCUCUUCACAUUUUCUUGUUCUUGGACAAGCAUGUUACCAUACUCCAACAGUUUCUCCAAACUCAUCUUGGGUUGAUCAAAAGUUGGAGGUCCUUCUUUUGAGUUCACAAGCUUUUUCCCAAUGGUUUCAAUGCCAACACCAGCAAUCCACUUUCUCACUUCAUCAUCAUAUACUCUUGCCCUAAGUGCACCAAAGAAAUCUGUAAAAAAUAAGAGAGUUGAGCCAACAGUCGAUUUGUCGGGUCCAAAUUUUGAAUCAAAUACAUAAUUUUUUAUGACCGAACUUUCUCUUAUUUAUAAGAUCGAAUGAAGUAAUUAAAAAAGUUUCAACAUUCUAGAAGAGAACUUACCAAUGGAUUGACCAGGGAAAGUGUCAACAAUCUUAACAACAUCUUCCUCAGGAACAUUAUCAUGUCUAAAAAUCCCUUUACAAACACCAAUACGAUCUUCUCUUGUAGGUGCCCAAUAGAAUUUCUCCAUACGACCGUCACGAAUAAGAGGAGCAUACAAUGUUGAAAAAUCAUUACCAGUAACAAUGAUAGGCACACGUGCAUUCUCUUCUUUGUUAUACAUACCAGGAAGUUGAACAUUUGUUGGGUUAUCAGCAAUGUUCAUAAGUGUUGCAUUUACCAUUUGAUUGUUCACUGUGUACUGUGUUGUUCCACCCAUACGACCGGCUCCUGCAUCAAGAUCGUUUAUGAAGAGACAACACAUUUUCCCUUUUCUUAUUAUGUCUGAUGCUUCUCUGUAUCUUUGUCGAAUUAGUUUUGCUGGUUCUCCCGCAUUUCCACUUUCUAGCUCUCCAGCACUCAUCAUGAUAGGGCUGGAAUUAUAAAAUCAUAUGGAUUAUAUAAGUUAGUGCCAAAAAAUGUAUUAAUACAUCACCAUCAUCAGAUGGAACACAUGUUUUGUGUCCGACAUUUGCCGGUGUCUUAACACUCACACAUUUGGAUUGGUUGCAGUGUGAUUGCACAGGCAUAUCAGCUGUCAAUAAAGAUAGAACAGUCCAGAUUUUGGUUUUUUUAGAUCUAAAAUACUUAGCUUGUAAUCUAGACUGUCUGAUCUUGAUUGGACAACCUAUUUACAAUCCGGAUCUGACAUAUGUGGUUGCCUUUAAUUACGUCUAUUUUUUCAAAAUUAUUAUUAGUAGUUAUGUGUCAGCUUGUGUCUGGUGCGUGUGUCUGUGUUCAUGCUUCAUAGAUAACAUCACACAUCAAUAGUUUAAUGCAUAUGAACAAAUGUUUUAAAUCAGUCGCACUGCAAUUGCGAAAUAUUGUGGUCGAAUAGAAUUGAUGUAACUGUAAUUGCGAUUUUCAUACGGUUGUUGAGAGAUAAAAAAUCUUGACGUUGCAACUAUAACCGCGGUUACAAAACCGUUUUACAGAACCUUGAUUUGAAGCUAUGAUUUUUUCUUGGUUGAACAUAAGCUCUAGUUAGUUGUGCCAACAAUUAAUUGUUCCAAAAAAGAGUUUCGAUUUCGGAAAUGGAAGUAACUUACUUGAUGCCCAUCUUGGCAAAGACAAGCUCAGCUUGGAAAGAUUUUCCUUGACCUUUACCUCCCCAGAUACCAAGAAUGAGAGGAACCUGAAGAAAUCAUGAAAAUAUUUGAAUAAAUCUCUAUUUUAUUCGAGUCUUGGUUGCAAUAUCGUCACCAAUUGCAUGGUUUUAAAUUGCAGUUUAAACUACAAUUGUGUCCUCAAUAUAAAGAAUUUUGAUGUCUCUAAACAUCAUCGGCUAAAUUUUGCCGCAAUAUAAAGGUUCACAACAUAUAAUACUAAUAAUAAUAAUAUAUCAAAUUCAAAUUACAUACCUUGAUAUUAGGCAGAGUCAAGAAGUUCUUAGUGAUGUGUACAACAAGCUUGUCCAUAAAAGCAGGUGCAAUGUAAAAACCAUCCAUGGUGUUGUCAAGGUUGUACCUGAAAUACCAUCAUACAUAGUGACCACCACCUUCAUAUAAAAAAAAGAUUUGAAACCAAUCUUUCAAAAACCGAACCGAACCAGACAAUUCAACCAAUUGAACUGUGAACCGACACUGUCUACCGUUCAAUUAUUUGAGCAGUCCCAAUACAAGCUGUUGAACCAUGACCUAGUGGUCUUGCCGAUUCAAUGUCUGGUUUGAUUUUUAAAACACUGCUUAAAACUUUUUCUACUCAUGACAAAAAAACAGAUAAAUAAGUUAAGUAUGUCUCUGUCCUCGUGAGCUUAGCUCAGUUGGUAGGGACAAUGCAUAAUAUAUGCAAGGGCCGGGGUUCAAACCCCGCCCACCACCAAAAGAAAAAAGUUAAGUAUAUCUCACUUACUGUCUAAGUCCAGUACUAAUGUACUCAUAAGAACUCAUGACUGCAUAAUGAGUUCCAGAAUCUUGUGGUGCUUGGAAAACUGUAUCAACCAUACCCUUCCCUCUUGUGAUGUCUUGUUGAUCAUCUGAAGUAUCAUAGGCCAAACCUCUCCAUCUGUCUUUGUCAGUUUGCUUGCUUUCAUUAAUCUCAGCAGCAACAAUUUUGAAUCUUCCAGAUGAAACCUUUGUGUUUGGUAACCUCGAGGUAACUUUCUUUAAGCUGGUUCCAAAGAAUGAUGAACUUGGAACUGAAGCUACUGCUCCAGAGCUAUUCAAACUCAACUGCAAUAUCACAGUAUUAUCCUAUGAGUCACAUCGGACAUGACACUAAUACGUAGACAUUGGUAAUCAUUUAAGAAAAUUAAAUUAUUGAAUGUAAGUCAACACAUGUGUCGGUAGCAUGUUGGUGUAUGAGACAAAUACAUGUUAGACACUAGACACAGUAUCAGUUCUACUUAGGAAUUAGCCACUCUUUUGUACUAUUUAUACUAUCUGAAAGUUUACUCAAAUGCUAUAGACAUGCAAUCCAGACCAUCAUACUAUAUUUAUAAAUCAAAGUACCAGGGAUUGUUCCGCUAGAUUAGUCGGUCCUUGCCCGAUACCAAUUAAUAAGUCAACUGAGAUGUACGAUCUUAAUAGGUCGGUCUAGAUUGUUUGAUUGGAAUUUUUUUUGACCGUAGAGAAUCCAAAUCCAAAUCCAAAUUCCAAACAUUUAAAUCAUUAUUUGAUAUACAAUUGUAACAUUACACUUAUAAAGUAAUGAUUUAUCAAGUCUGUAUGUGUGUGUGUGUGUGUAUAUAUAUAUAUAUAUGAUUUAUAAAAUUACACAAGAACAAGAAUAAUUGAAAAGUAGGUAGGUAAAGCAACAUACUGGUGUUCCACUGACAGCUCUAACAGCUGAGACUGAGGCAACCAUGGCUGGGUUGUGUUGUCUUGCAAAGAAAGAUAGAGAAAUGUGUAUUGUUUUGGGGUGAGCAAAUUUGUCCAGAGGGAAUGAAUUUAUAGUAGUGACUCAAUUGAGUGUACAUAAAUCCAUAGUUCAACAAGAUUAGCUAAGAAUCUAUAACAUCCACACAAUGAAGAUUAUUUUACUGCCACAUGGCAAUCACUUAUUGCAUGAAUGGCAUUGGUCUCUGACACCUAGAGACAAAGGUCUAGAUCCUGCUAGAAUUACAUCCCUUUCCAAUUCUAAUGAGUAAUUGUUGUUACUACCACAUAAAGCUUGUAUAGUCCUCAUCUCAUUAGUUUCAUGCAAUGACAACAUGUUUUUGUUUCAUUAUUGUUAUUAAAAGAAGUGUUUACCAUUAAUAUGUUUGGGUUCUCUAAAUAAAAGUCUUACUUCAAAUGAUAAAAUAUAUUACUCUCUUCAUCAAAUGGUGGAGCCAAACAAAAAAGUUUGGGGUGGCCGCCUUCAAAAUAAACUAAAAUAUAUAAAUCAUAUUGCAUACAACAAAUUUAAGUUGUAAUAAAUUUCGGUCUUCCUCUUGAAAAACAAAUCGAUUUUUCGACUCUUUAUCUUAACUUUUCUGUUGCAAAGAAAUAAAUUAUCAAAUUCAACUAGUUUCAAUUUCAAUUUAACAAUGUGUAAUGAACAAGAAUGGUUGAAAUUGACAAAGGGAGCAACAUAGUAAUUUUCAAGGUAUAAAAUUUUUAUUUAUUUUUAAAUGGGGUGCCAAGGCUCCCCUUGCACCCUCUGCCUCCGCCACUGUCUUCAUCCCAUAUCAGUGGACACAAUCAAUUGUUUUACACAUGUCAAUGCAUAAUUUGUCUUGAACAUCUUAUAUGUUAUCAUUUGAAUUUAUAUAUGUGUAAUGUUAACCAAUGCCCUUUAUAUAUUAGUAGGAAAAUAAGAUGAAAAUAUGUAAUAUAAAUAGUACAUAUGUUGAAACUAAGUCCACUAAUAUGGAACAGACGAAGUAUACAUAUAUUAUUUUUUUAAAUAUAUUUAUUAACACCACUAAUUUAAGUUGAAAAAUAAAAAGAGAAUUAGACACAUAUAUACACAAAAGACAUUUUAAUAAUAUUGACACAAUGUAUAUAUUAAAAACACUAAAUAUAUGUGAAGAAGUACAGAUAGAUUUAUACAAAGUUAGAGAUGCAUUAUGUUAUAUUGAGCCACAUAACCAAUAUGUUGAAAAAAUGUUUGUUUUGAUUGAAUAUUAAUCUUUUUUGUUUUAGUUUUAAUUGAAUGGUAGAAAUUAAAAUUUUGGUGAUUUAGAUGAUGAUUAUCAAAAGGGGAUUGACCCGAACCACUCUUUAUUAAAAGGAAUAUGGGACCGAUGGCCACAUAUGCAAGUUGCUUUUCCCAUUGCCAUAUCUGCCUCCCCAUCCUAUGCCUCUUUCUAUUUUCUGUUAGUUACAUGCUGCGUUGUUUUACUAGCUGCACAAACAUUUUCAUUAGUUGUUUUUAUAGAUAGACGAAAUGAUAAUAACCGUUUAAAAUCCACACAUACAAGCAGAGAAGUUCGGUUUAAAUUCGAUCACAAUGUUCGAUCUAAUAAUUUUAUCCGUUAAAUUAUGACUUGUGCCAACAUAGGCUCCAUAAGCUUAUAGCCUGCAAGAAGAAAGUAUUUUCCAAAAAAUUUAAGGAUUUUGAACUUUAAAAUAGAAAAAUAUAUUUUUCCUUUUGAGGAGUUUCCUGAGAUGGUAACAUUAGCACAUAGCAUGGACAAUUCUCGGUGCAUCGAAAUAGAAGAAUUUUCAGAUAAAAUCAGUUAAAUGACCAAAAUAACAUUAAUAAGAUUAGUUAAAAUCAAAACAACCACUUGCUUACUCCAAGAUUUAUAUAACAAGGGAAAUGCUAAUAUGCACGAUAGAUUUGUAGUUAUAUUUGCACGAAUAAGUAGAUAAAGUUAUUUUUAUCUGGCUCUCUUAAUUUUCUUUUAAGCAAAAUGACCCAUUUAAUUAAUAAUGCAUUUUUUCUAAAUGAAAUCACAAAUUACGGUUCUUGUGGUGGUGAAUGGUGCAUCUCCAAAUCAAGUACUGCGUGUUUUGUCUUAUCUAAUAGUAUUUAUCUUUUCUUUUUUUUACUUAAGAUAGUAUUUAUCUUAUCACUACAAUGCUUUAGAAUUUGUAUCCUGAUAAAUACACAAUCUUCAAUCUCAUGUGGUAGCUGGUGAGAACUUAAUGGCUAACUUGGGGAAUUACCCUAUGGUAUAAAAUGUGUCUUUUUGCUCUGGUAAAAAUGUGUCACACAUUGUUACAACCUAGCAUUACAUAUCAAUGUUGCUACAACUACAACCUUCAACUACUCAUAAAUCUUUGAUAAUUGGUGUAAAUUAUCCCAAUUUCUGCCCUUUGGAGGAUACUGUUUUCUGAGAACUUUUUUUUUUUUUUUGAAGGAACUGUUUUCUGAGAACUGCCUAGUAGUCUUUAUUUAGUUCCCCAAUUUUGUACUUUUCCUUUUUUAUUUUUUAAUAAAUUUCGUUGCCUUUGAUAAACAAAAAGAUAUGUUUCGAAUUUAACUUUUAUCUUUAAAUUAAUUUUAUGUAAGAUAGUAAACUCUAUACAAACUAAAAUGAGCUUAAAAUAUGGGUGCUUUUACUAGAAAAUAUUUUUAUACGAGUAUUACUUUUCUCACCCUAUAGAAUUCUCGCGCGUCCUAUUUUUUUUUUUUUCAAAAACGCCCUUGAGGUUUCCGAAUUUCAUAAUCUGAAAUGAUGUUUUCCUUUGUUAUAGGGUAAAAAAUGGAGUUACGGAUUUUGUAAUCCGAAAACUUCAAAAAUAGGACGCGUUACAUGAUGUUUUCGGAUUGCAUAAUCCGAAAACCCCCUAAACACCCUUUUUUUUUCAUGGUGCUGAUGCAAUCUGGAUUACGUAAUUCAGACAGUGCCAGCACCAAUUCUUAUGUAAAGAGAGGGUAUGAUGGCUGGAGCUAAGGCAGCUGUUGUUGCUACUAUUGCCACUGCCAUUCCAACUCUAACCACUCCUUCCAUCUAUUUAAUUUUCUUUUCUUCAUACUUCCAUCCAUUAUAAGAAAUAUACUUUUGGCAUGUAGUUAACUGAAAUUAUAUAUGUUUGAUAUGCAGCUGGCUAGUGUAAGGAUGCUACCCUGAAUCCCACUACUCAAGCUCUCAUUGAAACAAAUAGUAAUAUUAUGUUUGAUAUGCUUGUUUUUUUUUAAAAAAAACUUCAAACUUUGAACCAUAGAAUUCUUUUUUCAUUAAUUUAAACUUAUUAGCUUACGAUGGAAAUUAAGUGCAUAUACAGUCAUCCUCUCCAAAUAGCAUGUUAAAUAAAAAAAUAGAAUUUUUUGUAAAAUAAAAAAUAGAAUUUAAUUACAUUGAUCUUAUAGCUUGUUAAUCUAUUUAUAUAUAUAUAUAUAUAUAUAUAUAUAUAUCAAAUUACUUAUUUAAUAACGUUAAUAUGAAAUAAAUCUUUUAAGUAAGUUAAGAGUCACUUAAAAAAAUCAUGUAGCCUAACUUACUCAAACAUUUCUACUCUCCAUCAACGCAACUCCUAUUUGAUUUCUAACUUUAUUCAUGUAGCCUCCAUCUUGCACUCUUCCUGGAUUAUAUGAACUGAUUUCUUCAUUUAUAUUGCUUUCUUCGUCACGCUCAAUCAUAUCUAUAAUAUGUAUAUGUGUGUAUAUAUAAUGAGAAUAAUUGAUUUUUUCUUUUCCAAUUAUACUCUAUAACUAAUUUUGUUAUAAGAAUACCAUAUUUUUAGUGUUGGUCAAAAAGAUAAGAAUUUAUAUAUAUAAUAUUAUAUUUGUUACAUUGCUGUGUCAUUGAAAAAGAUAUGUUUAGUUUUUUUAAUAAGAAAAAGAUAUGCAUAGUUUGUUACAAUACAAAUGUGUAAAUUAUAUAUAAGUAUAAUUUUUUUAGGCAACUACACUUGUACUUUUAAUUAAAAUCAAAAUUUUAUAAAAAUAAUUAUACGCAUUACACAACACCAACAAAAAUUAUACGCAUUAGCAUAACAAAAAAAAACAGAAAGAGGAACAUAAAGUAUUACUCUAAACACUAAUGUGUUUGUGUAUUUCCGUGGUUGAAGAAAGAGAAUAAAAAUAUUCGGUGUCAUUCAUUGACAGCGUGAAUACAAAUAUUUGCGUGGUUGUGAUGAUUAAAAGAUAUUGAAAUUAAUAUAUAAGUGAUAAAAAGAUAAUAAAAUUCCUUAAAAAAAUAGAUAAUAAACUUAAAUGGAACCUCAUUAAAAAAUUAAAUGGACCGGUUAAAAAAAAUAAAAUAAAUAAAAUGGAAGAAAAAAGCAUAUUGAAAAAAUAAAACAAAAGGUUGCCGGCGGGAGUUGAAGAGAGGUGCUUGUGAAAUAAAUUGGAGGAGAAAUAGUUUUUUGAAGUAACAUUCAACAACUUUUGGUUAAAGCUCAUUCCAUUCAAUUUUAUGCAUUCUAAAAAAAGUACUUUUUUUUAAGGUACUUUAUUGAUAUUGUGUUUGACCUAGCUUCUCCUUAAAAACGUAGAAAAACUGAAGAAGAAAAAAAGUCGGGUCAAACGUUACCUAAAAUCUAAACCGAAGCUUAUAACAGAUUACAAGUCACGUUUAGACGUUGAUGUUUUUAAUCAAGUUGGGUCUUAUAAAACCUAGUUUAUAGCCUAACCUAUUUCAAUCCCAAGUUCACAUAUGACUUUAAAUUCAUGCACUUAUGAUCUUUUUAUGGUUGAUUCAUGUUUAUACAUUUUAAUGAUGUUCAAAUAAUCUAACAAACAAUGAUGUUGAUUGAUGCAUGAUAGAGAAAGACAAUUUCAUCGUUAAACUCGAAAGCCCAAAGUUCUUCAUCCACCAGCUCAUAAUUACUCUCCCUUCUCAAUCUCAUGCAUGCCCAAUUGCCCAUAGUUCAAAGACAAAAAUUUUACUGUUUUGAUAUGACAGAAACCGGAAAGUUAUGUAUGUGUAAAUAGCAUUGCCUCCCAGCUCAUCUUUUCCAAGUUCCGGUCAAUAUCACACGGCAUCUCCAAUGUAAUAAAGUUAAGAAUGAAGAGUAUAAAAUAAUUUUAGAGGUUAUAAUUGAUUUUAUAUUUAAAAUUGAUAUUAGUUGAGGUUAGAAAUCGUAUUCUGAUUUUUGAAUUGAUUUUAACAAACAAAUUUAUUUUUCAAUUCACUUUUAUAUAAAUGUAUUCAAACAUAAAUUAUUUUACUUUCAACCUAAUUUUAGUCAUAAUCAACUUUAUCAACUUUACAAAAUCAAUUCACUCAAUAUCAAUUUUUCUCACAGCAAAACCAAAUAGAUGAAUCAUACUUUCAAGUUAGAAUUAAAAUUGAUCUGUCUGGUAGAGACGGAUGGAGGCAACAGUGCGAUGGCGACGAAGUCUUCGCGGUGGAACGAAAGGUUCGUGUUGGUACGUUAGCAUUCAACGCUCAAGUCAGUGUAGGAAAUGAAGUUGAAUGUGUAAAAGUGUGUGGGAAAAUGAAAUUGUACCUUGAGGGUGACGCAGAGUCGCCCUUAUACAGAGAAAGGAGGCUCUAACUGCUUCCGUGAAAUGUGGAGCCUCAUCAAGGGCCGUUGGAGGCCACAUGUAUGACGUAGGAUGCCAGGGGCGUGCUUCAGUAAGGUGGCAUGCACCAACAAUAGCUUGUUCACUCAGGCAAUGUGCCUUGAUCUGGGAGGACUUCAUGUCCACAUGUCAUCGUAGGAUUAACCUUCUUAGCCGGUUCAGAACAAAAAUGGAACAUCGAAUAUUGAUAUAUAGUUGAGUGAAGUCACAAAGAGAAAUAUUCUACCAUUGGGUCAGUGUCAAUAUAAUAAAACCCGCUAUAGAUGUCGGCUCUUAAGAGAGAGCGUCAAUGUUAUAAAUCCCACACAUUAAGUAGAUAAGAAUGUUAAAUGUAGUAAUUAAGUCAUAAGCCCUCCCUUCUAAUAAACUAAUCUUUUGAAUUGAGCUCUUAUGAGAUUAACUCGUAACAAUAUCACAACCUUAAUUAACAUUCAUAACACAAGAUUAACCAGGGGCGGAGCCACCCCCCAGCUAGCCUGGGCUAGUGCCCAGGCUCAGCUCCAACUUUCUUUGUAGCAAGCCCUACCAUUACUAGAAUUUGUAGCUUUUCCUGCGGAUUUUUGUCUAAAUUCCGCAAGAAAUGCAUUUCCUGCAGAUUUUGCCAAGGAUUUAGGUUCCGCAGGAAAGAUAUAUCCGUAGGAAAUGUGAAUUUAUCUGCAGGAAAUGUGAAAUUAUUCGUAGGAAGGAAGUAACGUUUUGCGAUAAUUUUUUUUGCCCAGGCUCUCUAAAAUUCCUAGCUCCGCCACUGAGAUUAACAAUCAUCAAAGGAACAGAGGGAAUAAGUUCAGCACACAUAUAUAACUAUUAUUGUUUGUGUGUAUGCGCUUGUAUUAUUAAUCUUUCUAUAUUUGGUCUAAAACAGUAAGAAAUGAACACAAAAGGAACUACAGGGGGGUUAGUCUAACACACCUAAGACCAUAAUUUAAGUGGCAAACAGCUAAACCUGAAUUAUGGUGUGAUUAAAAUAGCAUUGAUAUGUUCACAUAGAGCAAGUGGGUUUAAAUUAGGUUAAUUAAAGGACCAUUAACAAUAUCAAGAUAAAUAGCCGCAAUGAGUCAUGAACUCUAUAUGCUACUAAGAAACUAGAUUAGGCAAAGCAUGCAUUAUAACUCCAAACUUAUAAACUGAUCAUAUAGUAUAUAAAACUCUUUCCAAUCACCAGCAAAUGAUAAUGAUUGGUUAUUCAAUAAGAGAAAUUCUACCGUCCCUUUCAAAAAAAGGGACUUGUCCCAUUACUUUGGUCGUAGAAAAAAGUAUUGAGAUAUAAAUUAGUUUCGUAUUUGUCUUAGUAGAUUGAAGUAUAAAUAGUUUGUAAUCACUUUAUUAGUGGAUAAUUUUUCAUCAUUUGUAACAUUUUAUUUCCAUUAAUACAAAGAGUUAAUUAUUUUUCUCUCAUUCCUUUCAUCGAUGUAAUGUUUCAUAACAAGAAGCUUCAAUUUAAAUGUUUGUAAUAACACAAAUUACUCUUUUGGUCCUUUAAGUUUGACAAAAAUAUCGGAUUAGUCCUUUAAGUUUUUUAAAUUUUAAAUAGAUUCUUUAAGUUGUUAAUUUAUUACACCGUUGCCCUCAUAAGGACCUAUUUGAAACUUAAAAACUUUAAAUAUGUGAAUUAAAUUAACAAUUUAAAAGACCUAUUUGAAACUUAAAAACUUGAAAAACUUCAAAUAUGUGCAUUAAAUUAGCAACUUAAAGGACCUAUUAGAAACUUAAAAAACUUAAAGGACUAAUCUGAUAUUCUUGUCAAACUUAAAGGAUCAAAAAUGGUAUUUAGCCUUCUUUUUUCAUGAAACUGAUUUGAAUGUUUUUAACUACUCCCUCUGGUCACUUUUAUAAGCAAAAAACAACUUUUUAGGUUCAUGGAAUAAUUAAGGUAUCUAGUCACAUUUAGAGACCAAAUACAUUAGUUAUUCAAUAAAUCUAAAAAGUUGUGAUUUGCUUAUAAAUGUGACCUGAGAAAGUAGAUGCUAAUUCGAGUGGAAGAAGUGGCCCUUUAUUAUGUGCUUUUUAUAAAUAAUGUUUACUAUGAACCUCUAAAUAAUAUUUUAAUGGUAAAUGUUUACCAUAUGUUUAGUAAAAAAUAAAUUUUAUAAUAAUAAGCUUCACUAAAUGACGGAUCGUUUGGAAAAAAUUGAGUUUGAAUUUUGGGUAGAACAGUUUUUGGUUAAAUUGUACUUACAUCACGGCCAAACUCUGAAUUAUCAAGACCUCCGAGAAUAAAAAAGUUAACGCAAACCAAAAAUUAUGAAUAAAAAUAAAUUUUAUUAAAAUUAGGGUUCACCGUUGGACCGAAUCCAUAUUAUACAACUCUUUGAAUUAGUAAUUACAAGAAAAAAAAAUUACUUGGAUUUAUUUUCUGACAAAAUAUUUAGAGAGAAAAUCUUUUUGGAUAGUAGAUAUUUGUAAUUGUUUUUAUAUUUAGAUUAUUUAAAAUUUAUAAAAUUAAAAUUAUUGAAAAUUAAAUGGAUUAAGUAUUUGUAUUUAACAUCUUAAAUAAUACUCCCUCCGUUUAAAAUGAGUGUCGCUUUAACCAAUUGCACAUAUAUUAAGGAAUGAAAUAAAGUAGUCAAAUAUCAUAGAAUUUUACCAAAUUAUCCUAAUCAACUAUUGGUUUGUUUUUCAUUAAAGAAAAAAUAAUACUUUGGAAGUAGUGUAACAUAGUAUUAAUUGAAGGGUACAAUUGAAAAGAAAAUGUUAUUAUUGUAUUGAAAACUGAAAAUGACAUUCAUUUUGAAACAAUUUUUUUUUUGCUAAAACGACACUCAUUUGAAACGGAGGGAGUAGGUUUUAUAUACAUUUAACAUUUUAAAAAAAAAAAAUAUAUAUAUUUUAUGAUUGAAAAAGGUCCGGGGCUUAGAAGCCCCCCAUUCAAUAAUCGUCACAUGUCCUCAUUUAUACAAAAAAAUACUUAAAAAAUAGUCACAUGAGGUUAGAAACUUGAUGAAUAGAAAAGCCCUUUUGAGGCACAAAAGAGGAAAUUAUUUCCCAAAUUGACAAUGACAAUGUAGGCCACAAAAGAGACCUAAAAGAACAUGCUUUAAAGCCACUUGAAGUGAGAAUGAAUGUCCUUUGGAAACAACAAAAAGAAUUGACCCCUCAGGUGAUGGCUAUAAAAUGAUAGAUUCUCAAACUCUCUUUAGGAACAAAAAAAAAAAUACUAUAGUCUUAAUUGUGUGCUAUACACAACUAGAAAGACUUUCAUAAAACUUUAGAAAAUGACAGGGUUUGGCUCAUCAUGUGGAGCAUGCAAGUUCCUAAGGAGAAAGUGUGCUAGUGAUUGUGUUUUUGCUCCAUACUUCUCCUAUGAACAAGCUUCAAGUCAUUUUUCAGCAGUGCAUAAGGUUUAUGGGGCUAGUAAUGUCUCUAGACUAUUGUCACAUCUUCCUAUUCAAAAUAGAAGUGAUGCUGCCAUCACUAUAUCUUAUGAAGCCUUGGCUCGUAUGCAAGAUCCUAUUUAUGGUUGUGUUGCUCAUAUCUAUGCAUUGCAACAUCAGGUUAAUUUCUAUGUUGUGACUAUGAUUUUAAAUUGCAAUUGUAGUUGCGUUGUGAAUCUUUAUAUUGCACAAAAAUGCGGUAUAAUACGGUCCAUGUGGUCGAAAUUGCGAUUGUAAUAUCGUUGUGGAUGUUAGUUAGAUUGUGGCCAUAGUCGCAGUUGCAGACCACAAUUUAAAAUCGUGGUUGUGACCUCUCAACCAAGGUGUUUAAAUUGUCGAGCAAUCAUGGAUAUUGUGGAAAGUUGUGGUCAUUUGCAGAUAAUGCGACCUUGGUGCAUGUUUGGAUGAGCGUGAAACUAUAAUUAAGUGUAUUUUUUGUCAAAAUCAUGAUGGUUUGUCAAUCUAACCGCUAUUUUUCUAGUAUCCAUUGCUUAUAUAUUGAUGCAUUUUUUGGGCAAAUAUUUCUAGUAUAUGACUUUACCUCCAUUACUCCAACUUUCUUGAUCCAUCCUUACUUACACAUGCAUUGAAUAAAAUUAAAACUCUAAAAUUGUGCUUGUUGUAAAUAAGAAGUUAGAUCUUACAAAGUCUCUCCACAAAAAAUUUCUAAGGCCUCAAAAGCUCUCUACACAGCCCUGACCUACACAUAAUUGUGGGGGUGUAAUGGCAAGAGGAGACAUAUUUUCUUAUGUGUAAUUGUGCAGGUUGCUAGCUUGCAAGAGGAGAUAGAUAUUCUUGGAAGUGUAAUGGCAAAUUCAAGUGUUAGUGUUGUGAAUUGUGGCAAUGUUCAAGCACCAAUGAACUCAAAUAAUGGAACACAAUAUUACCAUAAUCAAAGUUUUGAAUCAUACUUGGAUAUGGAGCUAAUUCCUAAUGCACACGGAUUUCCAGAGCCUUUAUACGGUGAUUCCAACUCAAAUCCAUUAGAGAAGUUCUUAUCAGGAAUUGAUCAAGAGGGUUUCUUGAACCACCCUUGGUUCAAGCAUAAUAAUGGAGACAUAUGAAGACCUUGGAAUAUUAAAUUAAUUAAGUUACUAGACUAUGGUGCUUAAUUAUCCUACUUUUAUAUAAUGUUUAUCCUACUUUGUGGUAAUUGCAUGCAAUUAAACUUUUGUGACGUAUGUUUUACAAUACAAUCAUGAAUCAUAUAUGCUAGCUAGAGUGUAAUGUGUUAUAUUAAUAUGCUACUUCCGCAAUUAUUUUUACAUAAACAUUCGAUUGUAUAAACCAAAUGAUGUCAUAAUAUUCAAUGACGUGUUUAAUUUAAAUAUAAAAUAUUUAUAUCUACAUCAUUUUUAUUUUAAAUCAAAAUCUAUAUUAAAAUCUGCAUCGUUUGAUCACGAUCCAAAGACUAUUAAUACACACAUCCCAGUUAUCUUCAAAUAAACAAUAAACAAUAAACAAGUACUAUGUGUGUAAAGUCAUUUAUUGAUGUAUGUAUUAUUAGUGGGCAUGUUAAAGUAAAACUUAUUGAUAAGUGGAUAGCUACACACCUAGGGUAGGCGGCUUGGUUAUCCCAGAAAAGACCAAUUUAGACUCUCAGGGAAAAGUAGCAUGUGUUUAAUUUUAUUUUGGAGGAUCAAAAGUGAUGCUCUAGAUUGUUGAAUUGAUUUUAGGGUUAAAUAUGUUUUUAGUCCUUAUAAAUAUAUCAACUUUUUGUUUUAGUCCUUCUAAAAUUUUCCUUCAACUUUUAAUCCCUAAAAAAUUUUCCAUCUUUACUUUUGGUCCCUCUUUUAAAGUACACUCAUAUGUAGAAUUCAUAUUUUUGAAUCAAAUUUUUAAUAAAAAUUCAUAAUAUCAUUAUAAGGGUUAAAUAUGUUUUUGGUCCCUAUAAAUAUGUCAACUUUUUGUUUUAGUCCCUCUAAAUUUUCCUUCAACUUUUAGUCCCUAUAAAGUUUUCAAUCUUCACUUUUGGUCCCUCUUUUAAAGUAAACUCAUAUGUAGAAUUCAUAUUAUUUAAUAAAAUUUUCCAGAAAAAUUCAAAAUAUUAUAAGAAUGACUCCAAAAAAAAUUAAGAAUUUUUUAACAAAACAUGAAUUUAAUAUGAAUUUUUAUAUUGUUUAUGGUUAAAAAUUCAUAUUUAAUUUGUGUUUUGUUAAAAAAAUCUAAUUUUUUUUAGGAAUUGUUUUUAGAAUAUUUGACACAUUUAUGCACAAUUUCAUUACAAAAUACAAAAAUUAAAUUAAAAAUAGGGAUCAAAAGUAGUGAUUGAAAAUUUUAUAGGGACUAAAAGUUGAAGGAAAAUUUUAGAGGGACUAAAAUGAAAAGUUGACAUAUUUAAAGGGACCAAAAACAUAUUUAACCCUUAUUAUAAUCUCUCCCAAUUUUUUUUUUAAAAAACAUGAAUUUAAUAUGAAUUUUUAUAUUAUUUAUGGUUAAAAAUUCAUAUAUAAUUUAUGUUUACUUAAAAAAUUCUAAUUUUUUUUGGGAAAUGUUUUUACAAUAUUCUACACAUUUCUGUACAAUUUCAUUAAAAAAUACUAAAAUUUACUUUAAAAUAGGGACCAAAAGUGAUUCAAAAUUUUAUAGGGACUAAAAGUUGAAGGAAAAUUUUAGAGGGACUAAAACGAAAAGUUGGUAUAUUUAUAGGGACCAAAAACAUAUUUAACCCUUGAUUUUAUUAUGUUUGGAUGAUUUAAAGUAGAAUUAAUUUUGUUUAUAGAAUUGAAGUUAUAAUUUGUAGCUUUAGAAUUUAUAGAAUUGAUUUUAAUCUUAAAUUGGUAUCGUGGAUAAUCAAAUUUAAAAUCUUGAAGAAACAUAUUUUAAGGUCUCAAGUCAAUAUUAAGAUAUAGAAAUACCGACAAAAAAUGAAAAACAAAAAGCUUACUCCACCUUAAAAGUGUAUUGGAAUUAGAUGACUCCAUGGAGAAGCUAAAAUCACCGUUAUUUCCUCUUUAUCUCUCUCCAAAUAUUAUCUCUUUCUUAUUUUAACUAUUAUUACUGGCGAAAAGACAAGCACUUACAUGGCCGUCUUUCCACUCUUUUUAUUGCGCUAACGCAUGUAGAUUAUCAAAGAUAUUUUAUAAAAAUUUACGUGUAAAUUACAAACGAUAUUAUAUAUAUAUAUAUAUAUAUUAUUAAAAUUAUAAGUAUAGAUAUAGAUAUUUGUGAAUUUCAAAUAGAACAAACUCAAACCAUAUUUAUCUUUUUCAAUGACAACAAUAAUAUAACAAAUAAAAUUUAAAUUCUUAUCUUUUUAAAUAAUACCAACAAUUUAAUAUUAUUUUAAGAAAAUUUAUUUAAAGGUAUAAUUGGAGUAUAAAAAAAACCAACCCAACAUCCUUCUAAAAUAGACUAUUUAUUUCAUCUGCCUCUCUUAUAAAACAUCUUAAAUACAUUAAAGUUGUCAUAUUUUUUAUCUACAAAGUCACUUAAUCCUUAAAAAAGUUUUUGUUUGAAUGACUAUUUGUUUUAUGGUGUUCCGUUUCAAUCAACUCCAACCAGGAGAUCGAUAGGAAUAAUAAAGAACACAGAAAAUAGUUGAAAAAACAGAUAGAUUUUGUACAUUAUUUGGAUAAAAGAGUAAAGGAAAAAAAAUUAUUUAACUCAAAUUGAAGCAGUGAGAAAAAAUAAAGUUAAUAAUUGACAUAAAGUUCAUUUUACUUUUGGUAAAUUUUAAAACAGUAAAAUUGUCGAUUAGAAAUUUACGUCUUCCAGUUAUGCUAAUGGUGCGAGAAACAAAUUCACGAAAACGCUUUGUGCCCCCACCCACCCAGUUUUCCUUUUCUAAUUGUUAAAGGGUUUUUAAUUAAUAUUAAUAUUAAAACUAAAAUAAGUAAAUAAAAUAUAUGAAAAGGAAAAUCAAGCUAAAAAAGACAUGUCGGUGGUAAAAUUUAUCAACGUUGCUAAUACUUCUGCUUACCACCGCUGUUAUCACCACAAAGCAAUAUAUUCUUCACUCCAAAUCUGAAAUCUAGCAAAGAUUAUUAUUCUUCCAUCCUACAUUAAUCGUGUUGAUGGAUUCUUCAAAGUAUGUGCACUCUAAAGUUAUUUUUUCUUCAAUGGGGUGAAAUAUCAAACAAUUAUAAGGUACAUUACCAAUAAUUUUUUUAAGAAAAUUGCAGCAAAUUCUAAAAAAAAAAAAAAAACAAAUUUUUCCAAAAAAAAAAAAAUCAAACUGAGAGGGAGAAAGCUGCUCAGCAUAGUAAUGGUGUGGGAGUAUAACAAAGGAAAUCCAAAUGUAGAGUUGUGGUUAGACAAAAGAAUCCAAGGUUAAUUUGGGCAAUUUAUAUCAAAUAAAAUUUAAGAAAGUGGACCAUCAGUAUGCCAAAUCAUUCGCGGGAAUAUGCCAAUUUAUAUCAUAUGAUGAAAGCAUAAAAUAAAAUCAAAACAAUGUUAUUUUUGUCAUUAAAAUUUAAAACAUAAAAUGUUAGUUAAAAUCCAACAUUGUUUUUUCUAGAUUACCUUUGAAGAACACCAACCAAUGAAAAUGAGCAAUUUAUUGGUGGGGUCAAUAUAGUUCAUGGAUACCACUUAAAAAUGUGCUUAUGUGGCUAAUAUGUAUUGGUUGGGGUAAAUUACCCACCAUUCUUCCAUGGAUACCCUAGUUGUCACCAUCAAACAUACCUAUAUUCCUCUAUCUUUCUCUUCACUCAUUUUAACUUGAAUAGUUUGUUUUUUGUUACAAUUCACAUGAUCAAAGAGUUGAAGAUUCAUCUCAUAGAAGAAAUAAGCUUGAUACAAAGGAAAAAUCCAUAGAAUUAUUAUUGAAUGAUAAUAAAUGAGUAUAUAUAUAUAUAGAGCUUGAAUGAUACAAAGGAAGAAAUAAGCUUGAAUGAUAUAUAUAUAUAUAUAUAUAUAGAGCUUGUGAUACAUUACCAAACUAAACACCUAAUAACAAACUCUAACUAACCAACUAAAUUUUAACUAACUCUAUAUUUCUAAUAUAAAUAUGAUCAUAUUAGGUAAUCAACCCCACAUUCCAAUUUAUACAUAUCGGUCACCUAAUUUCAUUGAUAAGUCAUCAAGUGACGGGAAGAUCUUCAGACAUGAUCAUGUCCGCCACUCUCUUGCAUUGUGGAACAUUUACAACCAUGAACCAGGCCAGGGUUGUCAAUCACGAACUACAAAAAAAUAGUGGUUUGAUUAAAUUUCGAUAUGCUAUAGUGUUUUCUGUAGCUGAUAUUUUACAAUACUUUGUACUAAAUUGCAUAUCGCUAAACAAUAGCAGUUUUUUCGAAUUUGACUAUGUUAUAGCUGUUAUUUGACAACGCGGAUUGGGCCACUUCUGAAAUUGUGUCGAAAGAGGGUUGUUGAACCCAGGGUUUUAAAUUGCUUUCUACAACCGCAAUUGCAGAAUCAAGCUGACCGGCAUAACAAAAUCCACCAACAAACACAAUCCCAUAGAACUCUUGCAAAGAGAUGACUUCUUUAAGAAGGUAUGACAUAGUAAAAUCCCAUGGUUCAAAACCAGCUGGAUGAAAAGCUACAUCCAUUUCUUUUUCACCAUUUGCUUCCUUCAUGGAUGCAAAUUCAUUGAUUUUUACAAGAAAUUAUUUAUUUGCAUUUAGUUUAAUCACAUUUGAAUCGUUUGAAUCAAUUGAACUAAAACUCAAAAGUUUCACUUGUAUGAUCGUUAUUCCGGUUUUUGAAACAACUGUUGUUGACUUGUAGUUAGAAUUCAGUUCCACAAAUUUUAGUUGAGAACAAGCAAUAUUCAUUCUGCAAAAGUUGAAUACAGAAUCUAUCUUCAAUUCAAUCUUAGUAUCUCUGAAGUGGGUCAUAAUUCGUUUAGUAUGAGACAGUCCACAAUUAAAUAAUUUUUGGAAAAAAUCUGCAUUUAUUUGUAUACGACAGAAUGCUUCAAUUUGAACCAAAUUAUUUGACCAUUCACACCAAAGUUUGUCGGCAAAAUAUCUAUUUUCCGUGCAUUAAUAGUGUCUAAAUCGAACAAAACAACAACAUGAAAGGGAGGAAAAUUAGAGAAAGCAUUGAUUCAUAUAACACGUACAGGUACGGUGUCCAAAUGGAAAAAUGUAGUUUAAAUUGCUCAACUAUAACUUUUUGGAUUCACAUGUCAACGAGGAUCUUGUUAACGAAGGCUAACGAGACAAUCUUUAAACGUUAUAAAAGAAGAGAUUAUUUUAUAAAAAAAGUCAAAUCAUUUCAAAGUGAAUUCCAACUAUGUAAGUUAUGAGUCAUAGAACAUGUACAACUUAAGAUUUUUUUUUUUAAAUCAAUUAAAGUAAUUUAAGUUAAAAAAUAUUAUGAAAUUAAAAUAUUAUUAUGUUUUGCCACUAAAUUUAAGUGAUAGAGAACUUGGAAACAAUUUUACUUCUUUUAUUGUUAAGAGAAGUGUUUGAACAAUCUUAUCUUAAUAUAUAAUACUAAGGUUCACAAUGCAUGCUCCAUUUGUCUAAAACCUAAUUCUCUAACCCUAAUCUAUUUAAUUCUGAUUUUUGAGUUCCAAAUGUAACUGUAGUGGAUGAUUAUGAUUGAAAUGCACACAGCCACAAUCUUUUGGUUUUCUCCAUUCUGCAAUGAAUUCCUUGCCGUUACAAUUUUGCUCUCCUUUAUAAACAACAUAUCAGGAUUUGUCUUUCCACCAUCUCCAAACCCUCCUGCGUCGCAGACAUGCUUUCCACCAUAACAACGUGGCGAUGCUCUCUUACAACAUGUUGAUUGGUAUGUAUGCACAAAUUUUUCUUAAAAAUUCCCUUAUUUUUGCGGUUUGAAGCAUGAUAUUUGAUAUGUCUUUUUUUUGCAGCACCACUUGACAUUCAACAACAACAACAUCAUAACAUAACAAUCAUUCCCUUCUUUCUUUUUCGAAAUUUUCAAUUGAAUUUCUCAAAUUCAUUCGUGUUGUUCACAUCACGCAAAGAAUUGAUUGAUCAUCAUCAUCUCAUACAAGAAUGGCGGAAGGGAGUAAUACUCCUGUUCUUCUUCCUGAUUUGUUGAAAAACACGCCUUCCAAUAUAGCUAGAUUGAAAGAUGUUGUUGAACAAUCUAAAGCUAGACAAAAGUAUCUCGCUCAUACUAACAGUUCUUCUGAUGGCGGUGAUGUUCGUUGGUAUUUUUGUAAGACCUCUUUAGCCCAUAAUGGUAUGUACUAUGUCUUAUCAUCAAUUUGUAGUUUUUGUUGUAUUAAUUUAAUUUUAUAUUACUUUACUACUUUAUUAGUAUGUAUCCCUUUUGAUUGAUUAAUAUGUUUGACAAUGAUUGAUUUUGAUUUUGAAUGAAUUGAUUCUGACUAAAAGUGAGUUGCGGGUGGAUUGAUUUGUGUUUAGAUUCAUUCAUCUAGAAGUAAUAAUCAAUUAUAGAAUCAAAGGCUACAAAUAGUAGAAUUGAUUUUAGUCCCCAAACUUGAUUUCUAAGAAAAGAUCAAACAUAAGUUUGUAGAGUUAGAUUUACUGAAUUCAAACUUCUGCAAAGUAUUAGUGAAUUAGUUUUUGCCAAUUAAUCAUAUUUAAUAUUAGAUACUCUAAUUAUUUGGAUUGUUGUAGUUGGUGUGUUUUCUGUUAAACAAAGUUAGGAGUAAUGAUAGUGUGAGAGAAACUAAUUCAUGUGAUUAAUUGUGAUCGACAAUUUCAUGUUUCUAGCUAUUUUGAUCCUCUGAGUGUUGUAAACAGAUUUCACCUUUGUAAUGUUUAUAUAUUGGCUAAACUAAUUUUCACUUGCUUGCUUUUAUUCUAUUGCCUGUUCAUACAACUAUUUUGCUAUAUACGGUACAAAAUAUUUGAAGACGGUUCAUGAAUUCAUGGAAGUAUCCCUAAGGUUACUUUGGGUGUUAAAACUAUUACUACCAGGGCCUAUGAAUUUUAAUAAUCGAUAUCUAAAUUUUUUUUGACACAUUGCUACUAUAAAGUGUACACCAAAAAAGAACAUUACUACUAUAAAGUAUAUAAUUAUUUAUCAAAUGAAAACAAAAAAAAAUGUCGGUUCAUAUGUGGAAAUUGUCUUCUAUUAGGAAAUGUUGGUUUUUAAUUAAAAAAAUUAUUUCCUCCAUAUGAUAUAAAAGUGGAUUUUGGAAAUUUGAUAAAAGUAGAUUUUUGUUCAUAAAAGUUGAUUUUCUCAUGAUUGAUUGAAAAGAUAUCAAUAGAUUUAACAGUUAUUUUGAUGGAAUAUCAAUUACUAUAACUACUGUUAAUUCUAAUUAUUGAGACUUUUCACUCCCAACACUAAAAAAAAAAAAAAACGGAUAUUGCAAAUGACUGUUUGGUUGGGUAGUGAGAUUUUAAUGAGAUACAACAAAUUGUGCUGUAUAUAUAGACCAAGGAUCAUCACUCUAUUAUUCACUAAACAUUGAAAUCACAGUUCUAGGUGAAACUCUUCCUUACGGCGCUUUUUACCACCAUGGCUCCACUCAUCACUCCUGUUGCUGCCAUUGUUGCUGGAAAGAUCAACAUCAAACUUCGAGUUCGUGUCGUUCAUGUUUGGACCGUGUCUAAGUUCAACAACCCAAAUGAGGAUAACUCUAUUCACAUGUUAUUGCUUGAUGACAAGUUGGUUUUUUGAAAUUAUAUUAUGUGGUCUUAUAUUUUGAAAAUUAUAUUUGGCUCAAGUUGUCUUAUGUUUCACCUUUGUUUAAUUUAAAAAAAAACAGCUUGGAAAGAUACAAGCAUCUGCUAAGAAACAUUUGGUGCCAAGGAUAAGGUCAAACGUAGAAGAGGGAUCUACAUACGACAUUGAAAAUGUUUUGGUGACUAAAAACGAUCCUAAGUAUCAGGUUACCCAACAUAGGUUCAAGCUAUAUUGGGAAAAACUGAUAAGUGCUCAAAAGUAACAUAUUUCAUGUGUUAACUUAGGCAAAUUAGUGACUUGUUUUGCAAGUUAUCUAAGGAAAAGCUACCAUUUGAGUGUAAUAUUACCAUUUAUGCUUUACAUGCCCGAUUCUACCCAAUUUAUGCAGGAAAUGACAAGCAAGGACCAAAAGAAGGAAGCUCCUGAACCAAGGUCUGUUCGCUUAAGCGAACCCCUGUUCGCUUAAGCGAACCCCUGUUCGCUUAAGCGAACCAGUUACAGAGAGCAACCGUUCUAUUCGCUUACAAGCACACCUUCAGUUCGCUCAUGACAAAGCUCAGUUCGCUUAAGCGACCUAUGGUUCGCUUAAGCGAACCAGUUCCAGAGAGCACCAGGAUUUUUCGCUUACUAGCACGCUUCCAGUUCGCUCAUGAAGAAAAGGUCAUUUCGCUUAAGCGACCUACGGUUCGCUUAAGCGAACCACUUACAGAGAGCUCCAGGAAAGUUCGCUCACACGUUCGCUUGCGUUUCGCUUAAGCGAAGUUCAUCCAACUUCAGAAGAUAAGGACCACGUGGCAGCUCCUCAAUGGUCAACAUUAGAUUUCUUGGAUGUUCGCUUAAGCGAACUGGAACGCAGUCAGCCCAUAUAAAUAGUUUUCUCUUCUCUUUCCAAGAAUCCUAUUACAUUUUUAUUCAUAUUUUUCUGGUUUUAGAGAGAGACUAGGGCUUUUCUAGAGAGAGAAACACAAAGCAAGGUAGUUAGGAGUAGAUUCAAGCCAAGAUUUGUUGAGACAUCAUGGAUCUUGUCAUGGAAUCUUCACCCUUUCUUCAUCCUUUGCAAAGCUAUCAUAGACAUAUGUAGCUACAUCUACUCUUGUAGUUUUGAGGUAUUCAAACAAGCUAUUAUGUAAUCUUUUGAUCUUUUAAUAUAUGGUUCUAGCUUAUUUAUUCAAUAUUGUUGUUAUUCUUGUUUUUAUUGUUUUAUUGAGAUUCAAAAUGAUAUGGACACAUACUUUUGAAUCUAGAAAUAGAAUAACAAUCUAUCUUAAGUUAUCACUCGACAUGGAUGUUAAUAUUUGAUAAUCACUUUUAAUCUAGAACUUAAUGCUUUUGGGUAAUUUAAUCGGUUGGGAAAUCGUCGAUUAAACUACCCAAACGACUUUGUGAUCGUUUAAAUGUUUGGGAAAUCGAUGUUUAAACGAUCCCUUAGAAAUAACGAUAUCAUUUGGACACGAAUGAUAUUGUCGAGUGAUUGUGAUAAUAUAGUUUAAAAAGCUAGAAUCCGUUAAUCGAUCGAGAGAUUGCAGCUGUUACGCUUGGUUGAUGUCUCUGACCGCAAGCAGAAUAGCCCUAUCUCUUCUCGUUUUACUUUUAUGUCGAUUAGGAAAAUAGUUUUACACAAACAAACAAUUUAUACCCAAACACUUAACGUGACAAAUAUUGUGAAAAUGCUUAUGAAAUACGCAACUCCCUGUGGACACGAUCCUAUUAUACUUACGUGUAAAUAGUUUUAUGAGAGGUAAAAAUCCUUCAUAAAAAACCCAAGUCCCAUAUCGGAUAGACAAGACUCUUGAGAAGAGUUUAUAAAGAGGAUGCAAUCCUCACCUUACAAGCCGGUUUUGUAAGGAUGAGUUAGGCCCCAAAUUUCAACAUGGUAUCAGAGCUUGUCGAAUUCAAGGGCCGCCUAAACCUAUUCACGCACCAAGCCCAAAGAGUGAUGGGCGUGAGGGGGGUGUAUUGGGAAAAACCCAAGUCCCACAUCGGAUAGACAAGACUCUUGAGAAGAGUUUAUAAAGAGGAUGCAAUUCUCACCUUACAAGCCGGUUUUGUAAGGAUGAGUUAGGCCCCAAAUUUCAACAAGCUAAACCUUAUAGACAAGACAAAGUUCUUUAAAAUUGAUGCAACUACCAUUCCUUUAAAUCAUUUCGAGCAUAUAGAUAUUACAACGGACAGUAAAUGAUGUUAUUUUCAUUUGUUCUUGCAUUUUUUUUUUUUUUUACCAUAGACAUUUUACCGUAAAUCCAUUAUGCGCAGAUGUAUGACCCGUGCGGCAGCACGGGUGCAAGGACUAGUUUUUUCUAACAUUCUCUUUUAUACUUAUUCUCUUGUUGAGUAAAAUUUAUGUGGGUAUCGCAUUUUAAAAAUGGAUCCCACAUAAAGUUGUGAGAUCCACCUAGUUUUAUCCAAUAAGAGAGUGAGUGCUAUAUAGAAUGCUAGAAAGAGAGUUUUCUAUAGUUAAUUAUGGUCGUUAAAUCAACUCUAGUUUUUAAAUCAAGAGAAAUAUGCAAAAUCAAAUGUAUGAAUACUUUGUAUCUAGGGGGUUGACAAUGUGGAUGAAAAUCAAACGAUUCAUAUUUUGACUUUGUAAUCUUGAGGCCAUGACAAUGCGGAUGGUUUUUUGAUACACUUAAAAGAAUGGCCGACUUUCAAAUUAGGAAAUUGCUUUUCUGACAUCUAUAAGUUCCUAAUAACACAAGUAAAAUACUUAAAUGGCUCUAGCGGUAGUUAACUACCGUUGACGUAUCCGGCAAUAGUUAACUACCGCUGAAGGUGGUUUAGCUACAGUGACCGUAAGGAACAACACAUUCUUGUUCUUGUUCUGCCAUUCAAAACUUGACAAAGAUUUUGAGAAUGAAAAUGAUAGUUGAUGUACCACAUUAGCGGAUAACAGAUUCAUUCUUGUUCUUGUUGAAUUGAUGCUUACAGAGAAUUAGUGCAAAUUGAAUUAGAUUGAAAGAAAAGUGUAACUUAAUUAGAGGAAUUAAUUGAAUAAAAUGGGUUCAAUUGAAAAUGAGCAUUGAAUUAACAGAAGCAUAAUCAAUGGAUAGUGAAUUAUAUAGAUUUUUCAAUGAAUUAGAAUUGUGAUUGGAUUAGAAAUAAAUUGGGAUUCACGAAAAUGGAAGAAUGGAAGUGAAACUAACAGGAGAAAGGGAAUUUCUCAGUGGUAGUUAACUACCGUUGGGUUCAGCGGUAGUUAACUUUUUAUAAGUUCUUCAAUAUAACUUCUAAACACAACUUAAAGCAUAUAUAAAAUCAAUUUAACAUUCUUUUCAUCUUUUGCCAUAAAAAUAGUUUUUACAAGCCUAUACGUAAACACUUAUCAUGAAAAACGUUUGUGCUAUAAGCUGUAAUGUAAAUAAGUCGUUUAUCCAAACAACUCAAUUUAUGUCUUAUGCACUUUGACGUUAUAUAGUUAUUACUCUACCACUAAAAGAUUGAUCGCUAACAAUGUAAAUAAGUCGUUUAUCCAAAUAAUUGGAAGAGUUGGAAGAUACUCCAACAGAUGAAGAGAAAGCAACAUACAAGGAGGCAAAGAAGAAGGGAUAUGAAGCACAAUUUAUUCUCGACCAGUGUGUAGAUGCAUCAAACUUUGAAGAGAUUGCAAUGGUUGAAACAUCAAAGGAUGCAUGGGAUAUUAUUUUUUCAAUGUCCUAUGCUGGAGUUGACAAACUGAAGAAGGUGAAAAGGUCUCACAUCAGGUGAUAGUUGAUAAUAUCUUGAGAAGAUUGACAUCAAGACUUCACCACCUUGUUGUGGCCAUUGAAGAAUCAAAGAAUAUUGUAGAAAUGAAGUUUGAGGAGUUGCAAGGAUCUCUUGAAGGUCAUGAGCAUAGGCUCGGUGAAAGAGAAGCAGAGAAAACCACUGAGCCCUUAUAGGAUCAAUUGAUAAACAUAAAUAUAAUUAAGACAUUUUGUAGUUUAAAAUUGAAAUUGUGUGUGUCAUACCCCAAUUUUUGACCUAAGACAGCUUGACACGUGUCAUUUAACUCCGACCGGUCUCAGCCUUUCGAGCAAAAAUUUCGGCAGGGAGGUAUUUUAAAAUACCUCAUAGUUGAUUCCGAGUCGGGCCCUCUUCUCUCAAUUUUCAUUUAAUUUUAAUUUCCAUCUUUUAUUAAUUUUAAAUUCAUUUUUUUUUUAACCUUUAUUUUAUCUUAUUUUUGUUUUAUUUAUCCUUAGUCCUUUAAUUUCAUUUUUUUAAUGUCCAAAAAUAAAUCAAAAUUUGGUCCGAUAAUGUCCCAAACACAGCUCACAAACAACUAAAAACAGGCUGUAAUGUCUCCUCUCCAAGCAACAAAAAUUUUGCUCAUUUCAAGCUCUAUAUAUACAAACACAGAUGCAGCCAAGAAAAGGGGGGCCCAACAAGAGAAACAUUCCACGGCUAAGCACACAGACACAACAUUUCUCACCUGCAAGAAAUCAACAGAGUCCAGUAACACAAAAAUUCCAAACACCAAAACCAUAGUUCAACACCGUACCGCCAUACCAAACACUGUCAGCGCUAUAACAUCAGUUACCAACACAAGCCACAAACAAAUCUCAAAAACAGCCGUAACUCAACACCAAUCAACCCACAAACACGUAAUAACAAAAUCAAACUCAGUAACCAUCACCAAACCGUCAUAAAACAUAACUCUAGCACAACAAACCAUCAAAUCCAAACCAUACCACUUUCGGUUUCGAAUUCAAACCGGAUCUACCAAAAAAGUAAUAUUUCUUUCCUUUUAGAUCUAGGUCAAACCGUUGGGUUUUGAGCAUUUUUGAGUUAAAAAUCGGAAAGAAGGAGAGAAAAGAAGGAGAGAGGACAAAAAAAAAAUCAAAAAAAAGAGGAGUUUUUGACUCCGGCGCGGUGGCGCCGCCGCGACAACUCGCCGGCCACCGCGCCGGAAACUGAGUUUCAUGGUGGUGUUCUUCAACACUCACCGGAAACUUCAUCACAAAAAAAAAAAAAAAAGAAGAUAAGAAGAGAGAGAAGAGAGAGUACGUGAGAGAAAAAGAGAGUGAAGAGAGAGAAGAAAAAAAAGAAAUGGGAGAAAAAAGGAAAGAAUGGGUAUUUAUACCCCUCUUCUUCAACAGAUCCAAUCAAGGCCGUUGAUCAAAUCAACGGCCGAGAUUUGUUCCCCAAGGCCCAAUCCUCCUCAUUUUAUUUUCUGCACCCCCUUUACUGCUCACACACCCCCAGCAUCUCAUUUUUCUAAUUUCUUUUUCAUGCAUUUUAAUUCUCGCUCUAUCUGUUAAUCCAGAGUGCUCUGGUCCUAAUUACCUGUUAAUAUUAUAUUCUUGCUUAAUUUAGUUAUUCUCCAGAACAAUCUGGUCCUUGUUAAUUAAAUUAAUCCAGAGUGCUCUGGUCCUAUAUUAACUAUUAAUAUUAUAUUUUUGUUUAAUUUAAUUAUUCUCUAGAGUGCUCUGGUCAUUGUUAAUUAAAUUAAUCCAGAGUGCUCUGGUCCUAAAGUAACUGUUAAUAUUAUAUUUUUGUUAAUCCAGAGUGCUCUGGUCCAAACUUAAAUGUUAAUAUUUAUUUAUUUUUUGUUUAACUUAAUUAUUCUCCAGAAUAUUCUGGUCCAUGUUAAAAUAAUUUCACAAUUCAGCUUAACUUCAUUUUUCUCAUUCUGCUUAUAUAAUUUUCAUAUCUUUAUUCCAAAACCACAAAAACAUUCAAAUAACAAAUCACAAAAAUAUUUUUUCAUUACAAACCUUGAUUCUCCAAUCAAGUGAUCGUUCUUUUAUUUUUCUUAAUCAAAUUUCAAAUCAAUCAUAAUUCAACUUCAAGUCUAUUUCUUUCAAUCUAAAAAACACAAAUCAAUUCUCAUUUGCCAUUUGGCUUUUUAUUUCAAAACCUCUUUCAAAACAUAUAAAAAACACCAAACAAAUCAAACGUCAAUUUCUACCCCGAACUACGAGGUUUUGAUCCCUCACGGGUACGUAGGCAGAGGACCUUGUCCUUCCAAAUCAAUUAAAAAACAAUUUUCUUUUUUUCUCUUUUCAAUCAUCAACUAAAAAACAUUUUUCUUUUUUCUCUUCAAUUAAAAUCAAUUUUCUUUUCUUUAUCAACUCAUAAUUCAAUUUCAUUUUCAUCUCUUUAAAAGCAAGCAAGUUUAAGCACAAAAAGUUAAAUAAAAUCAAGAGGUUCUCGUAGAGUACUACGAAUAUUUAGGGUGCUAAUACCUUCCCUAAAUAUAACCAACCCCCGAACCCUAAAUCUCUUCAAAAUGGGUUGUUUGGAACGUUUUCCCCUUAAAAAAAAUUUUGUUCAGUCGUGAGAUAAAAAGUGAGUCAAAAGCUAAUCAAAUGGCCUUUGACGUCCGAAAAAUGGCGCGACAGAAAUGGCGACUUCACUGGGGACACUUAAGAGGGUUGAGCCUAACUUGGCUUUAUUUAAUUCUUUGUGCUCUAACUUGCUUAAAACAAAAACAAAAAUAAAGGAUGGAAAUACUGGUAUAUAUGUUCUCUUUUCUUCUUUCUUUUUUCCUUAACGUGAGUGGUGAGAUAAGUCCUACACCCGGGCUUGAGGGAAACAUAAGAUAAGAUGGUGGUAUAACCAAAGUGCCAUUCCGAGAGUCAAGUCUCGUGUUUUGGUUCAUGUGGUAUAACCCCGCUCAAUGGAGGAAUCUUGGGAGUAAUUUAUGUUGGCAUGAGUAGUCGUGUUGGCAUUGUAUUUUCAAGUGACCGCCGAAGUUGAGGACCUUUAGUUACCAUUACCCAUCUUGGCCUUUUAGGACGUAGUGCGGUGGCUAAUCAAGAGUAGUCUUGGUCUAGUUGAUACGCGAUACUACACUCAGACGAGACUUUCUUACGAACGUUGUUGGACCGGAAGUAUUUCCGUAACCCGAUGACAUUCGGAAGCGGUUAAAGACUCUGGGAACUUGGUAGAACCCGUGAUACAGGUACAAAUGAGACCAUAGUCCUUACCAAAUGACGUGUUUACCCUUUGACUCCAUCAAUGUGGACCUAAAACCUCACCAUGUUUUCACCAUUUGUGCAGCAUAAUCAUGCAUACAUGCACUCAUCCAUAAAAACUUCUUUCAUCAAAAUAUCGAAGGGCUUAUAUAGUUUUUUUUGUAAAUAUCAAAGGGAUGGAGAGAAGAAACACUAGGAAGUUCACUUUCAAGAAAUUGGAUUUGAUGAACUUAAGGGAUCUUGCAGUUAAGGUAGCCAGUCCGGAAGACUUUCAUGAUCGUCAUGGGAGGCUGCUUGGUAUCCUUUGGACAAAUGUUGAGAAAGGAUGUUUGGAGACCUUGGUCCAAUUCUAUGACCCUGCUUACCAUUGUUUUACUUUCCCCGACUACCAACUUGCUCCCACCCUCGAGGAAUACUCCUACUUAGUUGGCCUACCAGUGCUUGACGAAGUACCAUUUACCGGCCUUGAACCCAUUCCAAAAGCCGCCACUAUAGCAGAUGCUCUCCAUCUUGAAACCUCUCUCAUAAAAACAAAACUCACCAUCAAAGGAAAUCUUCCAAGCCUACCCGCCAAAUUCCUUUACCAGCAAGCCUCUGAUUUCGCCGAAGUAAACAAUGUCAACGCCUUUUACUCCAUCCUAGCCUUACUCAUUUACGGCCUUGUACUGUUCCCAAAUGUUGAUAAUUAUGUUGACAUCCAUGCCAUUCAAAUCUUCCUCACAAAGAACCCUGUCCCCACAUUGUUAGCCGAUAUGUACCAUUCCAUACACGAUCGGAACCAGGUAGGUCGUGGGACUAUCCUCGGUUGUGCACCUUUACUAUACAAAUGGUUUACCUCUCAUUUACCCCAAACCCAUUCCUUUCAAGCCAAUCCAAGAAAUCUCUCUUGGUCUAAAAGAAUCAUGUCCCUCACUCCAUCUGACAUAGCCUGGUACCACGCCACCCAUAACUUCAGAAACAUCAUUGUCAGUUGUGGAGAAUACUCAAACGUACCCCUUCUCGGUAUGCAAGGAGGAAUCAGUUACAACCCUAUCCUUGCCAAACGUCAGUAUGGAUGCCCAAUGGAAACUAAACCGGAUAGCAUCUACUUAGAGGGUGAAUUCUACUUUAACCAUGAAGAUCCCACAAACAAGAGAGGAAAAUUUGUUCAGGCUUGGCGUGCUAUUCGCAGACUUAGCAGAAGCCAAUUGGCGAAGAAAUCAGACUUUUCACAAGGAUCUCACACUCAAUGGGUCAUUAAUAGAGCUUCAAGUCUAGUCCUACCCUAUCACCUCCCAAGAUACCUAUCUUCAACUACCCCAGCACCAUCCUUACCCUUGGCUCCUGAGACUGUGGGAGAGUGCCAAGAGGAAUUGGCUGAAUCAAACUGUGUAGGUGCCAUUUGGAAAAGAAAGUAUGAUGAAGCUAUGCUCAAGAUGGAAACUAUGAGUGGUAAAAUAGAACAACAGGAUCAUGAGAUUCGCAAGCAAAAGCAACAAAUAGUUGAAAAAGAUGCUCAGAUCCAAGCUCAGAGCACAAGGCUCGCACAAUUUAUCAGCGCAAAGGAGCGUUGGGACUUUUUCAAGGACGCGCAUUCAGAUUCCGAGGAGUAGUCUACUUCAGGGGCUCAAGAAUUUCCCAAAAUGUUCUUAUCUUUUAUGUUUUCGCUUUCUUUUAUGAACUUUGGAGUCUAUCCCUUGGCUCAGUUUGUAAAAAGGGAAUUAUCUUUAUAAGUCUAUCCUCUAUCUCUUUAUAAUGUUUACAAAAUAGCUUUUAUAAGUCCUUCGAUAAAAAAAAAAAAUAAAAAAAUAAAAUGUGUCUAUUUUUGCAUAAGCAUAUCAUGCAUCAUCUUGCAUUUCAUAGUCUCAAAUCCAAGUCUCACACAAAUUUUCUUCUCCAAUCAAAGGUCAGCUCGUUUCAAAGGUGGCACCGCGCAUCCACUACAAGUCUACUCGUACUCAUUACACUCGUGCAACUGUUAAAAGAAAGAUGGAUUUUCUCGAGCAAGAGAAUCGGGCGCUCCGUGAAGAAGUGGCAGCCAUGCAGACUAAGAUGGACGAAAUGGUUGAAAUGAUGAAGACGAUGGCAGAUAUGCGGACCCAAGAGCAAGCUCAGGCUCAGGCUCAAGCUCAUGCUCUAGCACAAGCUCAAGCACAAAUUCAUGCACAAACACGAGCUCCUCCACCGCCCACCAAUACUCAGGCUGAAGCAUCUUCCUCUGCCAUCCCUGAAUGGACAAUAUGUGCUGACACUCCGACACACUCUGCUCCACAACUCUCCGUGCCUUGGUUCCCGCCUUUUACUGCUGGCGAAAUACUUCGUCCCAUUGCUUGUGAAGCUCAGAUGCCUACUCAUCAAGUGACUCAUGUCCCUCCGCCUCCUGUAAGAGCUCCCCCAGUUGUCAUGACUUACUCAGCACCUAUGAUUCACACUGCUCCACAAAAUGAAGAACCCAUCUUCCAUUCAAGGAGUAUGAAGGCCUAUGGUCAAGUGGAGGAUUUACAAGAGAAGUAUGAUGAGAUGUACCGUGAGAUGAAAGCUCUCCGCGGAAAAGAAAGAUUUGGAAAAACUGCUUAUGACCUCUGUUUGGUGCCAAACGUCCAGAUACCUCAUAAGUUCAAGGUCCCAGAUUUUGAGAAGUAUAAAGGGAACUCCUGCCCUGAGGAACAUCUAACAAUGUAUGCAAGAAGGAUGUCCGCGUAUGCUAAGGACGAUCAGGUCCUUAUUUAUUACUUCCAGGAGAGCUUGGCUAGUCCCGCCUCAAAGUGGUACAUGAAUCUGGACAAAACAAAGAUCCAAACUUUCCAUGAUCUGUGUGAAGCUUUUGUGGAACAAUACAAUUACAAUGUAGAUAUGGCUCCAGACCGAAGUGAUCUUCAGGCCAUGACUCAGGGGGUCAAAGAAACAUUCAAAGAGUAUGCUCAGCGGUGGAGAGAUGUUGCUGCCCAAGUCAGCCCACGUAUAGAAGAGAAGGAAAUGACCAAACUUUUCUUAAAAACUCUCAGUCAGUUCUACUACGAGAAGAUGGUCGGAAGUACGCCCAAAAACUUUGCUGAAAUGGUUGGCAUGGGUGUGCAGUUGGAAGAAGGAGUCCGAGAAGGACGUUUAGUAAAAGAUGGAGUUUCUACCAGUGGAACCAAGAAAUAUGGCAACCACAUCCCGAGAAAGAAAGAACAUGAGGUUAGUAUGGUGGCCCAAGGAAGGCCUCAGCAAACUUAUCCAACCUAUCAACACAUUGCUGCCAUCGCACCUGCUGCCAAUAUUAUUCAUCCCCCAAAUAGCCAGCCUCAAUUCCCACAAUAUCCUCAACAUCCUCAACAAUAUCCCCAACAACCAUACCAGCAACGUCCAUACCAACAACAACCAUAUCAACAAAAUCCCCCACAUCCCUAUCAACAACAGCAACCUCGACCACAAAGAAUGCAAUUUGACCCAAUUCCCGUCACCUAUGCGGAGUUACUUCCAGGAUUACUCAGAAAUAACUUGGUUCAAACCAGGCCUCCUCCUCCAGUACCAGAAAGACUGCCAGCAUGGUACAGACCUGAUCAGACUUGUGAUUUCCAUCAAGGGGCCCCAGGUCAUAAUAUUGAAAGUUGUUAUGCCUUUAAGUAUGCAGUACAGAGGCUAAUCAAAGAAAAGAAGAUAACCUUCACAGACUCAGCGCCAAAUAUUCAAACCAAUCCAUUGCCAAACCAUGGUGCUGCAACUGUCAACAUGGUCGAAGAUUGCCAAGAGACUCACCAUAUUCUCGACGUUCAACAAAUCCGAACACCUUUGGUCCCAUUACAUGCCAAGUUAUGCAAAGUAAACCUCUUUAAACAUGAUCAUGAUGGCUGCAACGAGUGCCUUCUGAACCCCUGGGGUUGUCAGAAAGUAAAAGAUGAUAUUCAAGGACUUUUGAACCAAGGAGAACUGGUUGUUGAAAGAAAAUGUGACAAUGUAUGUGUUAUAACUCCUGAAGAGCCUUUGGAGAUAUUUUACGACAGUCGGAAGUCAGUAGAUGCUCCUUUAGUGAUUUGCUUGCCUGGUCCAAUACCUUAUACUUCUGAGAAGGCAAUUCCUUACAAGUACAAUGCCACUAUGAUAGAAGGUGGUCGUGAAGUUCCAAUACCACCUUUGCCUUCUGUGGGAAAUAUUGCCGAAGAUAGUAGAAUACUGAGAAAUGGGCGUGUUAUCCCUCUAGUGUUUCCAAAGAAAGUUGACGCUCCGGUGAUUGAAGAAACCCGAACUAAAGAUUCCGGUGCAAUCAAAGAUGUGGGUCAGACUAGUGGGACCAAGUCAUGUUCUGAUUUUGACGAGAUUCUCAAGCUGAUAAAGAAAAGUGAGUACAAAGUGGUUGAUCAACUGAUGCAGACUCCGUCAAAAAUAUCCAUAAUGUCUUUAUUGCUGAAUUCUGAGGCUCAUAAGGGAGCUUUGAUGAAAGUCUUGGAGCAAGCUUUUGUAGACCAUGAUGUGACUGUGGGACAAUUCGAUGGAAUAGUGGGGAAUAUCACUGCAUGCAACAAUCUGAGUUUCAGUGACGAAGAGCUCCCAGAGGAAGGAAGGAACCAUAAUUUGGCAUUACAUAUAUCUGUGAACUGCAAGACUGAUGCUUUGUCAAAUGUGUUGGUAGAUACCGGGUCAUCGUUAAAUGUAAUGGCCAAAACGACCUAUGAUCAGCUUACUUACAAAGGUACGCCUUUGAGACAAAGUGGAGUAAUGGUGAAAGCUUUUGAUGGUUCGAGGAAGAAUGUUCUCGGAGAGGUGAUUCUGCCUAUUACAAUUGGGCCACAGGAUUUCCAGAUUACUUUUCAAGUGAUGGACAUCCAAGCAUCCUACAGCUGUUUACUAGGCCGACCCUGGAUUCAUGAAGCGGGGGCAGUAACGUCUACCUUGCAUCAGAAGUUAAAGUUUGUGAAGAAUGGGAAGCUAGUAACUGUGAAUGGUGAAGAGGCUUUGUUAGUAAGCCAUUUGUCGUCUUUCUCUUUCAUUGGGGCCGAUAGUGUUGAAGGGACGCCUUUUCAGGGAUUUAUCAUGGAAGAAGAGAGUACCAAGAAGAGUGAGGCAUCUAUUUCUUCUCUAAAAGAUGCUCAAAAAGUGAUACAAGCUGGAGGCUCUCCCAGCUGGGGAAAGUUGAUAGAACUGCCAGAGAACAAGCGCCGAGAAGGACUGGGUUUCUGCCCAUCAGCUGAUUUGUCCAAGCCUAAGAUCGUUGUCGAACCAAUCAGAGGUACUUUCCACAGCUCUGGGUUCAUUCAUGCAAUCAUUGAAGAUAAUCCCGAAAGAGUGCCACGAAGCUUUGUGACACAAGGAGGGUCUAGCCACAAUUGGGUUGCUGUAGAUGUUCCUUUUAUUGCUCAUUUAUCCAAGUAAUGCACUUUGUUUUGUCUUUUAUGCUUUUUUAAAGAGAAAAUCCUUUCGCCCCGCCCCAAGCGAAAGUGAAUCUAUCUAGGGCUUUUUGCUUCAAGAAUUUAUCAUCAAUCAAAUAAAAAUGUCGUUUUGUUCCCGACCUUUUGCCUUACUUUCUUUUAUGUUUUUAGAAAAAUGGUAAUACAAAAAACCGAAAAUAUAAUCACCUUCUAAAAAUCUGCACUUACUUGUUUUCUAAAAAAAUCAUCAAUCAUAUAUGCAGAUUAAAACCCAAUGAACCCGUUGAACAACAUAGCCCUAUGAUCUCUCCCAACUUUGAGUUCCCUGUGUAUGAGGCGGAAGAAGAAGAGAAUGAAGAGAUUUCCGACGAAAUCUCCCGGCUACUUGAACAAGAAAGAAAGACCAUUCAGCCUUAUGGGGAAGAAUUAGAAGCAAUCAACUUGGGUACCGAAGAAGACAAGAAGGAGGUCAAGAUUGGGGCAUCACUUGAGGUAAGUGUCAAGGAGCGAGUGAUAGAGCUUCUCAAAGAAUAUGUUGAUGUGUUCGCUUGGUCGUACCGAGAUAUGCCAGGUCUGGAUACUGAUAUUGUGGUACACCAUUUGCCUUUGAAGCCCGAAUGUCCGCCGGUCAAGCAGAAAUUGAGAAGAACCCGUCCUGAUAUGGCCCUCAAGAUCAAAGAGGAAGUGCAAAAACAGAUCGAUGCAGGUUUUCUCGUUACAUCAAAAUACCCUCAAUGGCUAGCCAACAUAGUGCCUGUUCCGAAGAAGGAUGGCAAAGUCAGAAUGUGUGUUGAUUACCGUGACCUUAACAAAGCUAGUCCCAAAGAUGAUUUCCCAUUACCUCAUAUUGAUGUACUGGUUGACAGCACUGCAAAAUCCAAAGUGUUCUCCUUCAUGGAUGGUUUCUCCGGUUACAAUCAGAUCAAGAUGGCACCCGAAGACAGAGAGAAGACGUCUUUCAUCACACCUUGGGGCACUUUCUGUUACAGAGUAAUGCCGUUCGGUUUGAUCAAUGCAGGAGCUACUUAUCAAAGGGGUAUGACUACUAUCUUUCACGACAUGAUACACAAAGAGAUUGAGGUUUAUGUGGAUGACAUGAUCGUCAAGUCAAUCACUGAAGAACAACAUGUUGAGUAUUUGCUAAAGAUGUUCCAACGGCUAAGAAAGUACAGACUUCGCCUGAAUCCCAACAAAUGUACUUUUGGUGUUAGAUCUGGAAAGCUUCUGGGCUUUAUUGUUAGUCAGAAAGGUAUUGAAGUAGAUCCAGACAAGGUCAAAGCCAUCAGAGAAAUGCCAGCUCCACAAACAGAAAAACAAGUAAGGGGGUUUCUCGGACGACUGAAUUACAUCUCCCGUUUCAUUUCUCAUAUGACUGCAACAUGUGGGCCGAUAUUCAGACUCCUCCGCAAAGAUCAAGGGAUUGUUUGGACAGAAGAUUGCCAGAAAGCCUUUGAUAGCGUCAAAGUGUACUUACUAGAACCUCCGAUUCUCAUCCCUCCAGUUGAAGGAAGACCACUAAUCAUGUACCUAACUGUACUGGAAGAUUCCAUGGGUUGUGUGCUCGGACAACAAGAUGAAACCGGAAGAAAGGAGCAUGCCAUUUAUUAUUUGAGCAAGAAGUUUACUGACUGUGAAUCUCGCUAUUCCAUGCUCGAGAAGACCUGUUGCGCACUAGUCUGGGCUGCCAAACGUCUCCGUCACUAUAUGAUUAGUCAUACUACUUGGUUGAUAUCUAAGAUGGAUCCGAUCAAGUACAUCUUUGAGAAACCUGCUUUGACAGGAAGAAUUGCCCGGUGGCAGAUGUUACUAUCCGAAUAUGAUAUUGAGUAUCGUACCCAGAAAGCGAUCAAAGGCAGUAUCCUUGCUGAUCACUUGGCUCACCAACCAAUUGAAGACUAUCAGCCCAUCAAGUUCGACUUUCCUGAUGAAGAGAUUAUGUAUUUGAAGAUGAAAGAUUGUGACGAACCGCUACUCGGGGAAGGUCCAGAUCCUGAAUCAAAAUGGGGUCUAAUAUUCGACGGGGCUGUUAAUGCUUAUGGUAGCGGAAUUGGGGCAAUCAUUGUCACUCCUAAAGGUGCACACAUCCCCUUCACGGCCAGGCUAACGUUCGACUGUACAAACAACAUGGCAGAGUACGAAGCGUGUAUCAUGGGUAUCGAAGAAGCCAUCGAUCUGAGAAUCAAGAACCUCGACAUUUAUGGUGACUCAGCCCUUGUAAUCAAUCAAAUCACAGGAGAAUGGGAGACUCGUCACCCCGGCCUGGUUCCCUACAAAGACUAUGCAAGACGAUUACUGACCUUCUUCAACAAAGUCGAGCUACACCAUAUUCCUCGUGAUGAAAACCAGAUGGCGGAUGCUCUGGCUACUUUGUCUUCAAUGUACCAAGUAAAUCGUCGGAAUGAAGUGCCGUUGAUCCAUAUCAGACGUCUUGAGAGACCCGCUCAUGUAUUCGCCACUGAAGAAGUUGUUGAUGACAAGCCAUGGUUCCACGAUAUCAAAUGUUUCCUUCAAAGGCAAGAGUAUCCACUCGGAGCAUCCAGUAAAGACAAGAAGACUCUAAGAAGAUUGUCUGUCAAUUUCUUCCUGAACGGGGACAUUUUAUAUAAAAGAAACUUCGAUAUGGUGUUGCUCAGAUGUGUUGACAAACAUGAGGCAGACUUAUUGAUGCAUGAAAUACACGAAGGAUCCUUCGGAACUCAUUCUAGCGGACAUACAAUGGCCAAAAAGAUAUUGAGAGCAGGUUAUUACUGGAUGACAAUGGAAGCCGACUGUUACAAGCAUGCCAAGAAGUGUUAUAAGUGUCAAAUCUAUGCCGAUAAGAUUCACGUGCCGCCGACUGCACUCAAUGUUCUUUCCUCUCCAUGGCCGUUCUCUAUGUGGGGCAUUGACAUGAUUGGAAGAAUUGAACCCAAAGCUUCAAAUGGACACCGCUUCAUUCUAGUGGCUAUUGACUAUUUCACCAAGUGGGUUGAAGCUGCAUCCUAUGCUAAUGUGACCAAGCAGGUGGUAGUCAAGUUUAUCAAGAAUCAUAUUAUUUGCCGCUAUGGUGUUCCUAGCCGGAUCAUUACAGAUAAUGGGACGAAUCUGAACAACAAGAUGAUGAAAGAAUUGUGUGAUGAUUUCAAGAUCGAACACCAUAAUUCUUCGCCUUACAGACCUCAGAUGAAUGGUGCUGUCGAAGCUGCAAACAAAAAUAUAAAGAAGAUCAUCCAGAAGAUGGUGGUGACUUAUAAAGAUUGGCAUGAGAUGCUUCCCUUUGCAUUACAUGGAUAUCGUACGUCUGUACGCACAUCAACAGGGGCAACCCCUUUCUCUUUGGUAUAUGGCAUGGAGGCAGUACUUCCCAUAGAAGUUGAGAUUCCUUCGAUACGAGUUUUAAUGGAGGCCGAAUUAUCAGAGGCUGAGUGGGUUCAAAGUAGGUAUGACCAAUUGAAUCUGAUUGAAGAAAAGCGCAUGUCUGCUCUUUGUCAUGGUCAGUUGUAUCAAAAGAGGAUGAAGCAGGCUUUUGACAAGAAAGUUCAUCCCCGUGAAUUCAAAGAAGGUGAUCUUGUGCUCAAAAGGAUCUUGACUUUCCAACCCGACUCUAGGGGCAAGUGGACGCCUAACUAUGAAGGCCCGUAUGUUGUCAAGAAAGCUUACUCAGGCGGUGCCAUGACUCUUCAAACCAUGGAUGGUGAAGAACUUCCACGUCCUGUGAACACAGAUGCAGUCAAGAAAUACUUUGUCUAAAAGUUAUAAGAACAGCUCGGUAAGUCGAAAACCCGAAAAGGGCGGCUUAGGCAAAAAUGAGCGUCUCGGUGGGCUGAAAACCCGAAAGGGCGGCUCAAGCAAAAAAUUAGAGACAUUAAACAGAAAUCAUUAUCCUGGUAGGCUAAAAACCCGAAAGGGCGGUCUAUGCAAAAGUUAAGGAUAAAAAGAAAAAGACAAAGUAACUGCAUCCAGUCAGGCACAAUCCACUUGGGACAUGUUUACUAUCAAAGAAUCUCCAAAUCUGAAGCAUCAAAAGCAGUAGAAUUCAAGAGUUGUAAGGGGGAAUGGGGGUUAUGAAAUUCAAUGUACCUUCCCAUUUUAAAAUUACCAUUUUUUUUAAAUUUAAAAAAAAAAAAAAAAAAAAAAAAAAUCCAUGAAGUCAUGCCAUCUGCAGGCUGUCAUUCAAAUCAAUAAUACUCGAGCCUAUGGCCCUUCUGUUUGAAAUUCCCCUUUUAUUCUAUUUUUAAAGUUCUUUCCAUUGUUUGAUGAUAAUAUUUCGAAGUAGAACUCUAAAAAAAAAAAAAAAAAAAAAAAAAAAAAAAAAAAAAAAAACUUUUUUCCAUGUCUUUUAAAAAGGCAUAAAUGCACAAGUACAUAUUAGGAUUUGAGAGUGAAAGAAGCAUGCGUCAGCACGUUCCUCAAAGAAUGAUUAGACCCCACCAGACAAGCAUAAUUGGACGCUGUUGAAAAUUCAAAAAAAAAAAAUGGGCACAACGACGGAAGUGUGUCAAUAGAAGAACAUUAUGUAUCAGCUUACAAAUGGCGACUUUUUCCAGACUUUUAAUGGGUUUCGUCCCCAUAAGGCAUAUGUUUGAUAUUUUGUCCCCAAUGAGGUCAUUUCCAAGGAAGUUCGCCUAGUGUAUAGUACUGUGAUGUCAGUCCAAUUUCCACCUUACCAAGUCUUGUCUUGUCUCAUCGAGUCCAUCUAUCAUAUACAAUAAAUACAUUCAUGCUUUCGGACGUUAAUACAUUCAUACACCCAGACAUCCAUGCAUCAACACUUUCAUACAUUCUUAUACAACAUAUGCAUCGCAUCAUUCGUACAUGGUUGCAUCAAUCGCACAAAGUUUUGUUUGAUAAUAUCCCCUCAGUUCGGUCCUCGUUUCAUCAUUAUGUCAAGUGGCAAGUUCUAACAAAUGAACAGCUUGUAAUCAUCAUUUACAUCAAAGGUGUCAUCCCCAGUGUGUCCGGUCAAGAGAUGUCACGAAUCAAUCAAUUUCAAGCGGCAAGUUUCCGACAAAAGGACAGCUUGAAUCUAUUUUCAUUCAAUUUCAAGCGGCAAGUUUCUGAUAAAGGGACAACUUGAAUAUACUUUUCAGUCAAUUUCAAGCGGCAAGUUUCCGACAAAAGGACAGCUUGAAUCUAUUUUCAGUCAAUUUCAAGCGGCAAGAUUCCGACAAAAGGACAGCUUGAAUCUAUUUUCAUUCAAUUUCAAGCGGCAAGUUUCCGACAAAAGGACAGCUUGAAUCUAUUUUUCAUUCAAUUUCAAGCGGCAAGUUUCCGACAAAAGGACAGCUUGAAUCUAUUUUUCAGUCAAUUUCAAGCGGCAAGUUUCCGACAAAAGGACAGCUUCAAUCUAUUUUUCAUUCAAUUUCAAGCGGCAAGUUUCCGACAAAGGACAGCUUGAAUCUAUUUUUCAGUCAAUUUCAAGCGGCAAGUUUCUGACAAAAGGACAGCUUGAAUCUAUUUUCAGUCAAUUUCAAGCGGCAAGUUUCCGACAAAAGGACAGCUUGAACCUAUUUUCAUUCAAUUUCAAGCGGCAAGUUUCCUACAAAAGGACAGCUUGAACCCGUUUCCAGUCAAUUUCAAUUUUCAAUUACAAAAGUGUCAUUCCCGGCGUAAAGCCGUUCUAGUCAUGACACUAGUCAAUUUCCAUUUCAAUUUUCAAUUUCAAAGUGUCAUCCCUGGCGUGAAGCUGUGCCAGUGAUGUCACUAGUUAAUUUCAAUCACCUAUCAUACAGGUAGUAGACAAUCAUUUUCCCCAGUGAAACUACAUUCCCCUAGCGGAGUCAGGAUCCCUUUCUCUAGCGAGUGUUGGGUAUCUUAUUGUUGUUUCUCAUUCCAGUCGAGUCACCUAUGUCAUCAUGCACUCAUUCUUGCAUCAAAUGCAUUCAUAGCAUCUUAGGUCAAAAAUGGUGUACUCUGUAUUUAAGUCUCUUCGACCUGUCAAUUCAAAGAUUCCAUCUUCGAAUCUUCGGACGAAGAAACUUAAAUAGGGGCAUCUGUCAUACCCCAAUUUUUGACCUAAGACAGCUUGACACGUGUCAUUUAACUCCGACCGGUCUCAGCCUUUCGAGCAAAAAUUUCGGCAGGGAGGUAUUUUAAAAUACCUCAUAGUUGAUUCCGAGUCGGGCCCUCUUCUCUCAAUUUUCAUUUAAUUUUAAUUUCCAUCUUUUAUUAAUUUUAAAUUCAUUUUUUUUUUAACCUUUAUUUUAUCUUAUUUUUGUUUUAUUUAUCCUUAGUCCUUUAAUUUCAUUUUUUUAAUGUCCAAAAAUAAAUCAAAAUUUGGUCCGAUAAUGUCCCAAACACAGCUCACAAACAACUAAAAACAGGCUGUAAUGUCUCCUCUCCAAGCAACAAAAAUUUUGCUCAUUUCAAGCUCUAUAUAUACAAACACAGAUGCAGCCAAGAAAAGGGGGGCCCAACAAGAGAAACAUUCCACGGCUAAGCACACAGACACAACAUUUCUCACCUGCAAGAAAUCAACAGAGUCCAGUAACACAAAAAUUCCAAACACCAAAACCAUAGUUCAACACCGUACCGCCAUACCAAACACUGUCAGCGCUAUAACAUCAGUUACCAACACAAGCCACAAACAAAUCUCAAAAACAGCCGUAACUCAACACCAAUCAACCCACAAACACGUAAUAACAAAAUCAAACUCAGUAACCAUCACCAAACCGUCAUAAAACAUAACUCUAGCACAACAAACCAUCAAAUCCAAACCAUACCACUUUCGGUUUCGAAUUCAAACCGGAUCUACCAAAAAAGUAAUAUUUCUUUCCUUUUAGAUCUAGGUCAAACCGUUGGGUUUUGAGCAUUUUUGAGUUAAAAAUCGGAAAGAAGGAGAGAAAAGAAGGAGAGAGGACAAAAAAAAAAUCAAAAAAAAGAGGAGUUUUUGACUCCGGCGCGGUGGCGCCGCCGCGACAACUCGCCGGCCACCGCGCCGGAAACUGAGUUUCAUGGUGGUGUUCUUCAACACUCACCGGAAACUUCAUCACAAAAAAAAAAAAAAAAGAAGAUAAGAAGAGAGAGAAGAGAGAGUACGUGAGAGAAAAAGAGAGUGAAGAGAGAGAAGAAAAAAAAGAAAUGGGAGAAAAAAGGAAAGAAUGGGUAUUUAUACCCCUCUUCUUCAACAGAUCCAAUCAAGGCCGUUGAUCAAAUCAACGGCCGAGAUUUGUUCCCCAAGGCCCAAUCCUCCUCAUUUUAUUUUCUGCACCCCCUUUACUGCUCACACACCCCCAGCAUCUCAUUUUUCUAAUUUCUUUUUCAUGCAUUUUAAUUCUCGCUCUAUCUGUUAAUCCAGAGUGCUCUGGUCCUAAUUACCUGUUAAUAUUAUAUUCUUGCUUAAUUUAGUUAUUCUCCAGAACAAUCUGGUCCUUGUUAAUUAAAUUAAUCCAGAGUGCUCUGGUCCUAUAUUAACUAUUAAUAUUAUAUUUUUGUUUAAUUUAAUUAUUCUCUAGAGUGCUCUGGUCAUUGUUAAUUAAAUUAAUCCAGAGUGCUCUGGUCCUAAAGUAACUGUUAAUAUUAUAUUUUUGUUAAUCCAGAGUGCUCUGGUCCAAACUUAAAUGUUAAUAUUUAUUUAUUUUUUGUUUAACUUAAUUAUUCUCCAGAAUAUUCUGGUCCAUGUUAAAAUAAUUUCACAAUUCAGCUUAACUUCAUUUUUCUCAUUCUGCUUAUAUAAUUUUCAUAUCUUUAUUCCAAAACCACAAAAACAUUCAAAUAACAAAUCACAAAAAUAUUUUUUCAUUACAAACCUUGAUUCUCCAAUCAAGUGAUCGUUCUUUUAUUUUUCUUAAUCAAAUUUCAAAUCAAUCAUAAUUCAACUUCAAGUCUAUUUCUUUCAAUCUAAAAAACACAAAUCAAUUCUCAUUUGCCAUUUGGCUUUUUAUUUCAAAACCUCUUUCAAAACAUAUAAAAAACACCAAACAAAUCAAACGUCAAUUUCUACCCCGAACUACGAGGUUUUGAUCCCUCACGGGUACGUAGGCAGAGGACCUUGUCCUUCCAAAUCAAUUAAAAAACAAUUUUCUUUUUUUCUCUUUUCAAUCAUCAACUAAAAAACAUUUUUCUUUUUUCUCUUCAAUUAAAAUCAAUUUUCUUUUCUUUAUCAACUCAUAAUUCAAUUUCAUUUUCAUCUCUUUAAAAGCAAGCAAGUUUAAGCACAAAAAGUUAAAUAAAAUCAAGAGGUUCUCGUAGAGUACUACGAAUAUUUAGGGUGCUAAUACCUUCCCUAAAUAUAACCAACCCCCGAACCCUAAAUCUCUUCAAAAUGGGUUGUUUGGAACGUUUUCCCCUUAAAAAAAAUUUUGUUCAGUCGUGAGAUAAAAAGUGAGUCAAAAGCUAAUCAAAUGGCCUUUGACGUCCGAAAAAUGGCGCGACAGUGUGUAAUUACACAUGAACGGAAGGCAAGCAGGUAACGCCUUUUUGGACGGAAAAAACAAUCUUCGUAAACACAACAUUCAUGGACCUAGGCUCAAUAUUGUUCAAAAAAUGAUGUUGAUCAUAUCAAAAAUAAGAAAGGAAAAUGAAAGAUCAAGACUAAUAGAAGUAGAAGGGAGCAGUCAGAUUGGAGAAUAGGAGAAAAUAAUCAAAGAAGAGGUGGUGCAAUGCAAGUGCAUCUAAGGAAAUAAGCUACUAACUUGCUUCACUUGCAAUUGCAUCCUGUGGGGGGAUUUUAGAAACAAGUAAGCUCUUUUUCAGGGUGGUUUUCUGAAGCUCUUGGUAAUGGGAAACUCCUUUUAUGCAGACCUAUGUGGUGCAAUGAGAGCUAUUGAGUUUGCAAAGUUAAAAAAUUGGAAUAAUUUGUGGUUAUAAAUAUAUUCAAUGUUGGUGGUUAGAGCCUUCAAAUCUACGAACAAGGUGCCUUGAGGAAUAAGAAACAGGUGGAAUAAUUGUCUCAUCCUGCUAUCUAUUAUGAAUUUUGUGGUUACUCAUAUUUAUAGGGAGGAUAAUACUUGUGCUGAUGCUUUAGCAAACAUUGGCUUAUCUUUGAACUCUUUUGUCUAUUACUAUACUAUUCAUGUUGAAGUUAGGAGUGAUUAUGAUAAAAGUAAGAUUGGUUGACCUAAUUUUAGGUUUACUCAUUUUUUAGAAGGUCUUGGCACUCCCCUUUGGUUUUAAAAAAAUAAAGUUUGGCAUAAAAGUGGUUGGAACCGAAUUAGGAUGUAACGAGUUAAAGGAGUUGUGUACUUCACUAAUGAAUAAGUGAAAGUGAUAAAAGAAAUUCAAAGAAUAAGUGAAAGUGAUAAAAAAAUAAAGAAAAAAAAAAUUCUUAUAUGCUAGUAGUGAAUAAAUGGUGUGCUAACUAAAAUCUCUUUCAUUCUAUUUUUAGUAAUGCUAUCAACACUCUCUUUCGAACAUUGUUGCGAAUUCGAUGAAAAUCACACCAAUAACAACUUGAUGUGUGGAGCAAGGGAUAAUCAAGCAACCAAAAUCAAAGUGUAUGGAACAAUUAAAUACAAGCCAAAAGUAGAAAACAACGGCGAGAAGAACACAAAGAAGAGAAGAACACAAGAGAAUUUGUUGACCCAGUUCGGUCCAAAUUGACCUAGUCUGGGGGAGAGAGCAGCCCUCCGAUCCACUAUAUGAUGAGUAACGUUACAAAGAGAAAUCAAUGGGUUACAAGAAUAAGUCUCCAAACCUAAUUCUACCCAAAGUCCCAAUCUCUUCCCGUAACCAAGAGACUCCAAUCAUAAUAGUGUUUCCCAAGGUGAAUCAACCCACAAACCCUAGUGUUUGUUCCGAAGAGACAAACUCUAUACAAACCCUAGUUUUGUUGUUGCCUUUCUAAACCCUUGUUUCAGCCCCCUCUAUCUCUCUCUCUCUCUCUCUCUCUCUAAAUAGCCUGAUACAAGGUCUAUUUUUAUAGUAAAAGUCUCGCUUAAAAUCUGUAACAAAUCUGCUCAAAAUCUGUAACAAAUCUGCACCCAAAAAUAUGUUUUAUUUUUAUCCGCCAGCGCACCAUCGUGCCACGAUGCGACCCCAUCGUGCCACGAUUUUUCCAGUGCCUUGCCUAAAAAACUAAAACCUCCAUCGUGCCACGUUGCCCAGCCAUCGUGCCACGAUUCUGCAGAAACUUGAUUUUAAGUUAACUCUCACAAUUCUCCACCUUGACUUCAAAUCAGUGAUGAUGCCGAUCAUCAACCUCCUUGCUGCUCAAACCCUUGCUUCCCACUACUCCAAGUAGCUCCACAAGUUUACACCCUCAACCUCUUCAGCCAUCGGAAUGUCUUCCGCCUUCUCGAAGAUGCUUGUAGUCCAACUACGCUAGGAAUUUCAGGUAGUCCUACAAGACUAUACCAUAACCUCUUCAAUACGAGAUAUCUCCCGCUUUCCUUGAAGAUCUACUUGUACCCAAUCACCCUUGGCUUUUAGAGUAAUCCACAAGUAUACACCUCAACCACUUCAGCUAUCAGAAUAUCUUCCGCCUUCUCGAAGAGUCCUUGCAGUCCAACUACACUAGGAGUUUUAGGUAGUCCCACAAGCUUUCACCAUAACAUCUUCAACGCAUAACAUCUCCUGCUUCCUUGAAGAUCACCUUGCAUCCAAUCACCCUUGGCAUUCUUUUAGAGUAAUCUCGCAAGUCGUGCUACACAUUCUCCAACUUCAUGAAGAAAUCCCUUGCUCACCAUAGAGCAUAGCACCCAAGGUCUUCAUAGUCGUACCAUUACCGGUGUGUUCAACUCCACCUCACGCUGAGCGUACUCUACCUCAACUAGCAAAUGCGUACAUCCCACUAUGUCUUCAACCUUGAAACUCCACCUCAACAGGUAGAUCAUGAGUAUUCUUACCACCGCCUCUCCAGGCUGAUGUUGAGUGUUUAACGUCUCUCCAGACGAUCACCGCUCCACUAGGCAUCAAUCCCAAGGUGAGACACAUCACCUUCUUCAUCCUCCAAACAACACCACACCAUCAGAGCACCAGCAUCCUCAUAACCCUUAGAGACAAUUUGUGUGGAGUUACCAUUAAUCUCCGGACAAUCCUUCUUGAAGUGACCCAUCUUGUGACAGUUAAAGCAUUCAAACCUUGACUUGUUUCCACUCUUUCUCCGGUUACCUCUACCUCCACCAUUCCCUCUUGAGACACUUAGGCCCUCACCGUGUUCAUGAGUCAAGUCCUUGGACUUGGUCAACUCCUUGGUUCUCAAAGCCGCUUGAACUUCUUCCAAGGUAACAAUGCCUUCCUUGCCAUAGAGCAUGGUAUCUUUGAACGAUUCAAAAGAUUUUGGUAGAGCACACAACAAGAGUAUAGCUUUAUCCUCAUCCUCAAGUUGCACCUCAAUAUUUUCCAAGUCAUCAAGGAUUUUGUUGAACUCCGUAAGUUGCUCCAUGAUGGCCUUUGACUCUACCAUCCUGAAUGAGUAGAGUUGUUGCUUUAGGAAUUGUCGAUGAGCCAAAGACUUUGUCAUAUACAAAGAUUCCAACUUUGCCCACAUCGAUGUCGCGGUUGCUUCCUUUGCUACUUCUCUCAAAACUUUAUCCCCGAGGCACAAGACAACGGCACUCCUGGCCUUGUCCACCAUCUCGGUCUUCUCCUCUUGUGACAUGGUGACCGGUAACGAACCUUCACCCUUCAAAGCUUUCUCACACUUUUGCUGUAUUAACACCGCUUCCAUCUUUACCUUCCAUAACCCGAAAUCGUUAUCUCCGGUAACCUUCUCGAUAUCCCACUUUGAACCCAUGGUACUUAAUUAUCCUUCGACCCUUGCCCCACGGUGGGCGCCAAUUGUUGCGAAUUUGAUGAAAAUCACACCAAUAACAACUUGAUGUGUGGAGCAAGGGAUAAUCAAGCAACCAAAAUCAAAGUGUAUGGAACAAUUAAAUGCAAGCCAAAAGUAGAAAACAACGGCGAGAAGAACACAAAGAAGAGAAGAACACAAAAGAAUUUGUUGACCCAGUUCGGUCCAAAUUGACCUAGUCUGGGGGAGAGAGCAGCCCUCCGAUCCACUAUAUGAUGAGUAACGUUACAAAGAGAAAUCAAUGGGUUACAAGAAUAAGUCUCCAAACCUAAUUCUACCCAAAGUCUCAAUCUCUUCCUGUAACCAAGAGACUCCAAUCAUAAUAGUGUUUCCCAAGGUGAAUCAACCCACAAACCCUAGUGUUUGUUCCGAAGAGACAAACUCUAUACAAACCCUAGUUUUGUUGUUGCCUUUCUAAACCCUUGUUUCAGCCCCCUCUAUCUCUCUCUCUCUCUCUCUCUAAAUAGCCUGAUACAAGGUCUAUUUUUAUAGUAAAGGUCUCGCUUAAAAUCUGUAACAAAUCUGCUCAAAAUCUGUAACAAAUCUGCACCCAAAAAUAUGUUUUAUUUUUAUCCGCCAGCGCACCAUCGUGCCACGAUUUUUCCAGUGCCUUGCCUAAAAAACUAAAACCUCCAUCGUGCCACGUUGCCCAGCCAUCGUGCCACGAUUCUGCAGAAACCUGAUUUUAAGUUAACUCUCACAAACAUCCUUUCUAAUACUUAAUCUCUUAUCGAUUUAAAUUAUUGUGGGUCUGCACUUUAAAAAUUGAAUUCACACAAAAUGGUGAGAUAUAUAUUGAUUUCAUCCAAAGAGUGAAUACUAAAAAAUGUGUUAAGAAAUUCAAAAGUUGAAACAACGCACUCUCUACAAAUCGCAAAAGUUCAAAAGUGACAUGUAUGUAUGCGCAUCUCUAAAAUAGUUGCAGUAACACUUGAUCCACUAAAAGCAGUAUUAAAAUAUAAAUAUAUUAACAGAAAAAAAAAAAUUGAUUCUUUUUUCUUUUUAUAAUUCGUUAUUCACCUGUGUGCACAUGCUUAUCUUUUUUUUUUUUUCUCCUAUAAAGAAUUCAAUUCAUAUCAUUAAUAUUCAAAAUCCUAAUAUAAAAUAAUAUCAUGUUAACAAAGUUAAAAAAUAGUAUUUUUUUUUAACAAGCCAAAAUGAAAUUAUAUACGAAAUAGGGCAGUCCCAAACGCACAACGUGUGCCUUUUGCGACUACCUCAGAAGCCAAGAAUUACAACGGUUACAAACAAGACACAGCAAAAAGAUAUUAGCCAAUACCCAAACAAACAAGAGGGCUUGACCACCACUGCUGAGUGCCAAAAACAAAGGUAGCUUUUUUAGCUUUCAGCCAACCUAAAGACAUCAACUUAACCUUAUCAAGUAAACAAGGGAUGGGGGUAACCACAUGAUUAAACAGACGAUUAUUACGUUCAUUCCAAACAACCCAGACACAUAGAAGCCAUAUAAGUUGCAUAAAAGAACGUCUAGCAGCACCACCACCUGCCAAAAGAGUGAACUGUAAAAAAUGAUUGGAAAUAUUAUCUGUGUCCACCCCAUAGCAACCAAUCCAAUCUCGCACCAAAUGCCACAUCGAACCAAAGGUAUCACACGAUAAGAAAAGGUGUUGGGCCGAUUCAGGAUAACCACCCCCAGCAACACACGAAGACAUGUCAGGCGAUAGCACCCGUCUAGAAAUCAAAUUUAACCUUGUCGGUAAACGGUCACGAAGGAGCCUCCACGCAAAAACGGAAACCUUCAAGGGAACCUGUUUGUGCCACACCAAAUCCAAAGCAUAGUCUACGGCCUGAGAGACUAACAAACUAUAUGCACCUCGAACUGUGUAUCCACUAGAUGGGUCCGGAAGCCACACCCAGCUAUCUGCAACAUUAGGAUUCAAGGAAACAUCAAGAAGUAAAGCCCUACACUCCUCUAGCAACCCCUCCUCCCACUGCCAUAACCUACGUCUCCACCUCCACACUUCCCCCCACCGCUCCGAAUCAACAGAGAGCAAAUAUGCCACAGACAUAGACUUAUUCUCUGUUAACUCAAACAACCGACUAAACCUCACACAAAGAGGAACCUCCCCUAACCACCUAUCGGACCAAAACGAAGUAUCAGCCCCAUCACCAACUCUCCUCAACACCUGAUCCUCAAAACCAGCCGCUACCACCAACUCCAUCCCUCACCCUAAGACGACUCACCUCCAACCACCAACAAGAAACUCUCCGGCCCCCAACCUCCAACCUGCCACCUAACUCGCCAUACCUGGCGGCUAAAACCCUAUACCACAACCCACCUCUGUCUACCAACAUCCGCCAACACCAUUUCCCUAACAAAGCUAUGUUAAACUCCUUCACUUUCCUCACCCCCAAACCACCAUACUCCUUUUUUAAACAAACAGUUUGCCAACUUAACCAAGAAAUUUUCCUGUUAUCCUCACUCCCCCCCAAAAAAAAAUUAAUAAACAAAGAUUCAAUAGAGGAGAUUAUACCUGAUGAAGCUUUGAAGAAGGAGAGUGCGUAGAUAGACAGAUUUUAAAAAAAUAGUAUUAUCUUGAUUUUUUUUUUGAAUGAUAGUAUUAUCUUGAUUUUAAUUGGGUUCUAUGUGAAAUGUAUAUACUUUGAUUAAUAAAUUUAUGAAAGUUGAAUUGUUUGAGAAUUUGAGUUCAAUUUUUUAGUAGAAUAAUUAUUGAUCAAAUUUUACUUAUCUCUCGGUUAAACUUCGGAUCACUAGAACAUCUUUCUCUUAAAAACGGAAAAUUAUGCAAAAAAAAAUAAAAAAAAAUACUUGGAUUAACAAUUUCAUCAUUGUCAAUUUUUCGGUGGGGAUAAAAUCAUAAAAUGCUCCAACUCCAAUUGAGGCUAGGAAAAGGGUAAAAUGGCUACGUGUGUACACAUUGAACCAAUCACCGUCUAAAUUUUAGGCAAAACCACCCCACCAAAAGUAAAGAGGAUGUCCACUAAAGUUUAGACAAAAUAAUGUAAAAUCAACCUGGAAAUAUGCACACAUUGAACACAUGCUUACAUGUAUGAACAAAAAUCCCUUUCAAAAAAAAAAAAAAAGAACGCGGUUGAGUGAGUUUUUUUUCCAUAAAUAUAAACAAGAGUAUACUUCGUCGGGCAUGACUUGAAAAAAUUGUCACCAAACAACGAGCUCCCAUAAUUGGCUAUGGCAUUUGCAAUUGGUUAUAUAGCUUCAAGAUACGAGUGCUUAAGAAUAACUUACCAUGCCAAACCUAUCAUAAGACGAAUUUUCUCAGAGACCUUACCAUAGGAACCUUUCCCAUUACGUAUAAGAGCAUUAGCAACCACCAGCGAGUGCACAUUCGACUUUAUCGCACGAAAAACCAAGCUUAUAGCAUACCUCAAACUUUCGCGCACUCCCCAAAACUCAUCCAUAUAAGCACCACACACACCGAUGCUUUUAGCAAAUCCGCCAAGCCAUUCACUAUCGCUACCCCUAAUAAUACCACCACAACCUGCUCGACCAUUUUCACUGCAAGAAGCAUCCGUGUUUAGUUUAACCCAGCCUGCUGCAAACCGUUUGAUGAAAAUGUUGUGGUCGAGUUAAUUUUGUGCUAGCUUGAUUUUAUAAUGUAUUCAUGUUUUAGACUUUGUAUGUUCGGGAAAAUGAUCUUCGAUUCGAUUCGUUUUCAUAUUAUAUGCUAGCUGAGAAAAGAGGGGGAAAUAGAGAAUCGGAAUUCAAAUUAAGUGUAGUAGAACAAAAUUAGAAGAGUGAUGUUGACGACUUGUAUUUAAUUUUUUUUAAUGAUAUUAGAGGUCAUAAAUCUCUUUUUUGUUUUGUUUAAGGAGACUCUUAAGCUAAUCGAUUGUUACUUAGUUCGUAAUACCUUAAUCUUGUCUUCGUUGUGUUCUUGACAACUUUGAUUUCUUGCAAGUAUAGGACCUAAGUUUUUUUUUCAUAAGGUGUCAACUUAAAGGGAAGAGUUUGACGAUGUAACUUCAUAGAAUUACUAGAUUAUAAGGUGUAAAUUUAAAGGGAAGAGUUUGACGAUGUAACUUUAUAGAAUUACUAGAAUUUAAAGGGAAGAGUUUGACCAUGUACCUCAAAUCUUAGUAAAAUUAUCAUUAUAAUAAUAAAAAAAUUAUCUUUAUUGAUCAAUUUAUCCCAAUUUGAUUUAUGGAAAGGAGGAAUCAACUACCAUUAUAAGAAAAACCGGAGAGGUCUGAUUUGUUAAGAACUCUCGAGAUAAAAUUCCAAAGGUACACAAUUAUUCUGUUGUCCCCAUCUCCCCCUCAUCAAACCAUACCUACCAAAACCAAAUCAUCUCUCAUUUAAAAAAUGAUUAAAAUAUAUUUGUCUUGAUUAGUAUUUGAAUACGUGAUACCAACAUAAACCUAAAAGCAUGUGUAAGCAUGAAAUUUCAAUCUUCAACCUUCACUUUUCCAUUCUUCUGUCCCUUUCUUUCGGAUAACAGUGUACUAAAUUUCAGAUAACUUCUGUCCAUCCUUUUUAACAUUCAAAAUUUCAACAAUAGUGUAUUUGUUUUCCCUCUUAUAAUACAUUAGGAUUGAAUUUUAUCAACUCCCUUGCACAAAACCGGUUUAUAUGUCAGUCACUUAAAUUAACUACUAUUUAAAUUGAUCUGAUACUAAAUUAUUUGGACUCCAAUGACAAGGAGCUCCUUCCAAUGACGUACCUGAAAAUACCGGAUUCGAUUCCACCCUUAAGUUGUGUUUGGUACCUAAAGUUUGGCCAAAGAUUUUAACUCCACCCUUUAUAUUUAUUUUUUUAUUUUAACUUGCUUAAUGGUCAAAAUCUCUUAUCAAUUAUUGGAUCAAUUUAUUGUUGGUUCCACCCUUUACAUAUAACUAUAAUUAAGUUAUCAUAUAGUAGUAAUUAAUAUCACUAUCCGAAUUCAGAACAGCACAAACAGAAAAGAAACUUCCAAAGCAGAAACCAUUCGGUAUUAUUAUUAUUCAUUGGGUACAAAAACCAUUUGUAUUAUUGUUAAUUUUGUUGCGUAGUAACCAUAUAAAAUUCCCAAACAAACAUUGUGACACUACCACAAAGUUUAUAAAACAAAACAAAAUUAUGGGAAUUAUGGAGGGAAGGGAUCCCUUUAAACCCACAACAAAAGAAAACAUCCUAACCUUGGCUUACUAGCUAGCUAGGACACAUUACAACAAAACAAUCUCAACUUGAUCACAUAAGUUCACAAGGAGUAUAGAGUAAUGUUAUAAUGUGUUUAGUGUUUGUUUGGUAAGACGGUGGAUCCACUAAAAUCGUAGUAAACUAAUGUGUUCAACUAAAUUAGGUCAUCUACCGUAAUACCAACCAAACAGAUAGGUCAUUUCAAUAUGGAGGUGGAUGUGGACGCCAGAACACAUCGUGUCCGUGUCCAUGUCCACUAUCAUUUCCAUUUUGAAUCAUACUUGGAUUAAAACUGUAUUCACCUAAUCCAUGAGAAGUUGCACCACCACCACCGCCACCACCACUUCCACUUGCUGACCCAGAAAGAGAACCAGAACCACCAUCACCAUUAGCAACAUGAUUACCAUUGUUAACAACAAGAUUAAUGUUAUCAACCUCUUGAAAAUUCUCUUCAUCUCCUUCAUCUUCAUCUUCCAAAGGCAACCUUUCAUAAGUAGCAUUAGCAAAAGUUGCAGCAACAACCAUCACCGGCCCCGACGCAAUCAACGACCCGAUAACCAAUCCUCCAACAACCUGCCCCUGACCUCCAGCAAGAUAAACAGUCAGUCCAGUAGCAUCAGGCGGCGAAGGCGGAGGCAAAAAAGCACCGCUGAGUGACAGAAUGUGACACCUCCCUUGAAGAGAUAUCAUUCCUCCCGGAGCAUUAUCUUGCCGGAGUGUCACGUUGGUAACAUAACCAGUGCCGCUGAGAACUGAAACACCACGGUGGCGACGGUUAGCAUAGGAUGAAAUGCUAUGGGCGAUGUCGGCUCCGUUGGCGACUUCCAAGAUAACGCUGCUAAGAGCGUUUGGAGUUUCUUUUGUGAUCAUCAGCGGUGGUUUUGGCUUGUUCUUCGACCCCGGCGGACGUCCACGUGGCCGGCGUCCACUUCUGGCGGUCUGGUCGCCGGAACGGCCAUUGCUGUUCUCAAGUUCGUCGUUAACAUGGCCGUUGCUGUUGCCGGUGCCGGUAUUGCUGGUGUUACUCCUCGUUGGAGUAACGUUACCGCCGGUAACGUUGCCGUUAACGCUACCGUUACUUGCCCUUCGUGACUCUCUUCGUAAAAUGAUCCGGGUUGGACCGUUUCGGUUCUCUCCUUCGACCGGGUUCGCCUCCGUUUGUCUUCCACUCCACCAUCGAUUCGACAUGUUUCUAAACCAAAACAAACAAAAAAUUAAAAAAAAAAAUCACAAACCCAGAAAAUAAAUAAAUAAAAAUCUAGAAAAUUAAUUGAUAUAACACAAAAAAUACAAAAAUAAAAAAACCUUAUCCUAACUUUCUAAAAAAAAAAAAAAAAACUUAUAUAUAAAGAAACCUUGUAGAACCUCACCUUGAAAAACUUGAGAUGUUUUUUGGAUGUUGUGUGAAAAAGGGUAAGAAGAAGGUGGAAUUGAGUGAAUGUUUGAGAUGAUAAUGUUUGUGUUUUUUUUUUAGUAGUGUGCUGUUUUCUUUGACUCACAAGUAAAACAGUGUUUUUUGUUUUUGUGCUUGUGGGUGUGUGGAAAAGAUUUCAAGGUUUUGAAUGAAACUAGCCAAAGUAUGAAAUGACCCUACAACUUGGUAUUAUUAUGCCACCUAACUAAAUAACCUUUAGAUUUAUUCAAAAAUAAGGAAAAAGGAUUUUAGAACAAGUUGCAUAUAUAAAAAGGAAUGAUUACGGAGGAGGAAAAAUAGGGGCCAUAAUAAGGGAUGGGUUAAAGGGGAGGGUGUGAGUUGAUGGGUGGCAGUGUGUUUUUGUGGUUUGGAAUGUUUUGUAUUUUGUAAAAUUAUGGAAUCUAUGAGCUCGAGCACCUCGUGGGAGGCCAAGAAGUUUAUGUGUUUGUGGUUUGUGUGAUUGUAUGAAGUUGCUUUUAUAGGGUCAAAAAAAUGUGGCAUUGACAAUAUUAAAUAUAUUUUUAUAAUAGUUUCUAUAAAUUUGGUUAUUUCUAAUAUUGACAUUUGAAUAAAGUCAAUAAUAGACUUUUUUCUUUUCAAUUAACUUGAUAAUUUUUUAACAUAAAUGAGGUUUUAUAGGUGUUUGUAAUUUUGAUACUUUAACGACAGGCUAAGAAAUAAGAAAAGAAAAUGUGUAAUUAGUUAAUAACGAAAAAAGAAUAUUUAAUUUUUUUACUAUAAAUCAAAUUCAAAAUUUACCGUUGAAUACUUUACCGUUGAAUGAUUAAAUAUUGAAUGGUUUACUGAUAUAAAUUUAAUAUUAAUAUAGUUGACCAAUUUAUAAAUUUAUAAAAAAAUUAAAUAAAGAAAUUUGUUAAUUUAAUACUUAUUAAAUAUUUUUGUAUUAAAUGAUAAAAAUACUGUGCAAGAUUAAGAUAACAUAAAAGAAAAUCGGGGAUAUAAGUUUGAUGGUUUGGGUGGUGAUAUUAAGAAGUGAAGUGAUAAAAAUAGCCAGGGGUUCGAUUCUCACUCCAAGUAUAAUACUAAUGACUACAAACAAUAUUAAAUUUGUAUGUCCUUCAAAAAAAAUAAAAAAAAUUGUAUGUAAGUACCCAAAUGCAUAUUUUGAGUCAAAACAAGUUAUGACAAAUAAGGUGGCCUUGUAAUUUUGUCGAUGUUCCAAAUUAAAGUGUAGUUUUUGUGGACACGAUAAGAAAAUUUGAUAAAAUAGCUACUUAGAGUACAAAUAAAUUGAAUCCAUUUACGGAUUUACCAUUAAAAAUUUGUGUUUAAUUUUUUAAUAAAUAAAAAUUAUAAAUAAUUAUUUUCCAAAUUUAGAUAAGUUGAAUUCAGAAUUUGCCGAUGAAUGAUUUACCGUUAAAUGGCUUAUCGUUGAAUGGUUUAAUUUAUCGACAUAAAUUCAAUUUUUAUUGGAUUCAGAAUUUGCCGAUGAAUGAUUUACCAUUGAAUGGCUCGCCAUUGAAUGGCUUAUCGUUGACUGGUUUACCGACAUAAAUUCAAUUUUUAUGUUGACUAAUUUAUAGAUCAAUUAAUUUAUCAAAUUAUUCAAUAAAAAAGUUUAGUAAUUUGAUAUUUAUUAAAUAUUUUUGGAUUAAAUGAUAAAAACAUAGUGCAAGAUUGUGAUAACCAGGGCCGGCCCAAGGGUCACGUGGCCCAAGUAUUUAUUUACUCUACAUUGGUACAUCACGCGUGAGUUAACUUGCGUAGGUUAAAAUCCAGCGGGAGUUAACUCAUGUAGGUUAUAACUCAUCAUGGGUUAACUCAUUUAGGUUAUAACCCCAGCAUAAGUUAACUCAUGUAGGUGAUGAUCGGUUAAGAAAGUGUACCAAAUUGUUUACCAAGUAAUAAAGUGUAAGUAGAAUAUCAUAUCCACAUGGAUUGUCGUUUCGUCUAAACAAUUCGCGUUACUUAUUUUGUUUUGACGAUAUAAUAAUAAAAAAGAUAAGGGUUAGAGAUUGCAAUUUUUAUCUGUUUUCAACAGAGCAAUUUACAUGUUUGGUUGCAGAAAAGUUAGUGGUUAGGACUCUUAGAAUCCCCCUAUCUAUUUUGUCGGAAUUAAAUAACAUUCAUGUUGCUUUUAGUUAUCUUAAGUAGACUAUUCAAGUGAUGGGGCCGUUGGAACGUUCUAAUCUAGUCGGUUGUCAAGCUACACCUGCUGUUCGCACGAUGAUCCUUACGUACGGGGUCUAUACUAUCUCGGUUGAUCUUGGUCUAUCCCUCCGAUGGCUAAUUGCACUUGAUGAUCGCACGGUGAUCCUUAUGUGCGUGAUCUUGCUAAUUUAAAGGUAAUUGAUACAUAAACUUAAAUUGGUGUUCCUAGAUUUCCAAAGACAAUGAAGGCCAAUGUUCCUGAAGGUCUUCCCAUCUAUGAAUCUUAGGACACUCGUAGCACGCUCUCCUUCUCCUCUUGGUAGUUCUACAAACGGGCAUCCAUAUUAGCAUCUACCUUAUAAGGGUUCAAGGAUAAUGGUUCUUCUAGGAUCGUUCACUCCCAAAGACACUUGUUUCCCUAAUUAAUAACUAGUUACAUCCUAGGUUCAGCAGAUUUUACUGAAUAUUAGUAAUGUCACCUCCUAAGUAUUUACUACUAGGAUCAACUCGCUUUCACUACCUUUGCAAGCAACCAUGUGUUGGGCGCCUAAGGUCAUGCGCUAGGCGCAUGUUCCUGGCUACUCCAUGCAUGCGCCUAGCGCUUCUCUGUAUUAGCUCGGGGCGCCUGGCGCCCCUUCUGGUGCUCAUGGGCGCUUCUGGGUGUGUUUUGGUGCUGAAAUUUAUUCGCCUUUAAAGGUGUUUGCGUCAAUGUAAGAUGUCUUGGAACUUGGGAACAUAAUUUCUGCCUCUAUAAAGUUUUAUGUGGCCUUGUGAAUCUUCAUUAUUCAUCUUCCCAAGGACCACAUAAAUCUUCAGAUGUCUUGUUUUGCCUGAUAUGCUUGAUUUCUUUGUGAAUUACAUCAAGAACACCCUAAAAUUGCUAUGUUUCAGGAAGAAUACAAUUACAUACUCAAAUAUAGAAAUCAAUACAAAUUUCCCUAAAUCAUUGGCAAUUGAUCUAAUACUCAUCUGUUUUGCUGGUAAAUCCUACUAAAAAUGACUGAAAAACAUGCUAAGAAUAACGUAAGAUGACCUGCCAUCACAACCCCAAACUUAAAGUGAUUCUUGUCCUAAAGUAACUAAACAAAAACAUAAAUUAUUCUUUGUAUUUUUUCAGAAAAAAAUGUACCUUUCCGAGUGCUGUGCUCAGAACAUUAUUCAUCACAUCUACAGCUUCGACUAACUUACCUCGUUACACUCAAGCGGGACUAGCAUGGAGAAAGUAGCUCAUAUUCUCAAUCAUACUCUUUUCCAUGAUACAUGUAUGUAUCGCCUAAAACCAGUAGGGUUUGUCACGACAUUUUCCCACUCCAGUCGUCACGUGAAUGUACCUUGCUGUAAGUUUGAGACAAUUCUAAACAGACAGUCAAAAUAAUAUUAUAUACACAUUUUGAGGUCUUUCAGGGUUAUAACGUGGUUUAGGUUAAGGGUGGAUAUAUUUAAAAAGGUAGAUUAACAAAAGAACUUGGAGUUAGUUUAAUAACCUAGGGAUUCUUACUAAACAUUGAUGAAUUGUCAACCUUCCUUCCUUGAAUUAGACAAGAAGGGCACUACAGUAGAACUAUUUAUCUUUUUUAUUUUUGAUAGAAAUAAACAUUUUUUUUAAGAGACCAGAUUUUUUUAUGUUUUUGGCUCUUGAUUUUUUUUUUUUUUUUUUAUUGUGUAGACCCAUGGCAAUCUACAUUUUUUUUCAUUUUUUUUUCUAAUAAAUAAGUUAUACAUUUACCCCACCUCAAACUUAAAAUGUUGUUAAUUCAAAAGAGCAAUUUCAAACUUAGCUUCAAACCACAUCAAGUCAAAAAAAAAAAUCUAUCUAACUCCAAGAGAAAUCAAACAGGGUGCAUUUAAGGUUUAGGACUGUGACAUGAUUCGUCACUUAGUAACAAGAAAGAAAUUUCAUGUAAAAGCUCAAAGUGGUUUCAAAAAUGAUAAUAAGAAUAUAAAAGGGUGGCUUAAAAGGCUCAAGGUACCAAAGAAAAAUGCCUCGUGUGUAUUAUAACUUAAUCGAUCGUCCGUAAAGAACUGCCGCAAAUUCGGACAAAGAUAGCAUUCAUAUGGAACACUCAUAAUAUAAAGAAUUUAUAGUAUCUAACAACCUAGCAUUAGACACCCUAGGUUCCUCAUCUUCAACUCUUGCUCGAUUUCCAUUAGGGUGCAUGGAUGCUUUAGUUGGUGCAUCACUUGCUUUUAACAAGCCACUUUGAAUCCAAUACACACCCUCUCUUUAGCUUAAGAUUAUUUCCCGUUCUUCCAACUUUCGCCUCUUCACACAAUGCAUUAAUGAGUCCACAUUGUCCAUAAGAAAAAGCCUUCUUCUUUUUAUUGCCAAUUCUUCUUAUAUCCUCCGUUAUGAUCCUCCCUAUAUUUAUCUCAUCAUCAUUCAUGAUUGCUUGCACAACAACCACUCUCACCAACCGAAAUUCCGAAGAGUUCCCACAACUCUCAAGAGUGUGCACCACAAUGCGACCCCAUGCUUUAGCCAUCGGCUUCGUGUCUUUCAUACUAAACUUUGUUGGCAACAACCAUUUGCCUUGCUUAAGCCACAGUGAACCCUCUACACAUAGUUCAUCUUUGAUUUCUUCCAAUAUUCCUAUAUCUUCAAUAUCCUUAACAUCUUCAAGCUUCGCCCUCCAAUCUCCACUCCGCAUACAAGAGGUGUCAGGGUGCCAAGUAACUCAUCAAUCGUCUUCUCAUAGAACCAAAUUUUUUUUUUCCACAUCACAUAGAGGUGUGCAUAGGUUGGGUCAACCCGGUAAACCCAGUCAAACCCACCUAAAAAAACUGAAAAAAGUGGGUUGUGUUGGGUAAUUGAGUGAAUAUGAUUUUAAAAAUGAAAAACCCAUAAAAAAAAGAAAAUAACGAGUUUCAGGUAAAAUCAGACUCAAACCUAAUAAACCUACUAACCCAAUAAUGCUGACAUUUUUAUUCGACUAUUACUUUUCUCACCCUAUGUUAUUCUCGCGCGCCUUGUUUUUUUUCUCAAAAUACCUCUGGUUCGGAUUAUGUAAUCCAAACUCAUUUUGGAUUAUAUAAUCUGAAACUUUUCAAGCCUUUUGAAACUUGAAGCACCCUGAAGGAUCUUGAUACUAAAGUGUAUUGGAUGGGUUCGGAUUCUAUAAUCCGGAAAAGUUUUAGACAGUUUGGAUUAUAUAAUUCGAAAUUUUGUAUACCUCAUUUUAGACAGUUUAGAAAGUACAAUCGCAAGUAAUAUUCCUUGUACCUCAUUUUGUAUAGGAGUGCAACUUUUGUGUUAUAAUACUAUUAUAACGAUCACAUACAAUGUACUAUGUUUUCACCUGGCAAAACUUGACCGUUGAGAUUUUCUGUUUAGAUGAUCAAAUUGUUCUACACAAGGAAACACACAUCAAAUUAUCAAUUUUUCUCAAAUAUAUUGUUGUCAUUAAAAUCUAAAAUAGAGGCAUUGUUCUUAAAAACCAUUUUUGUUCAAUAGAAUUUUGUUGUAAGAUUUUACUAUCCUCAAAGAGGUUUUGAGCCUUAAUAUUAUCAUGAUGGUGAGAGGCCUCACAUCAAUUUUUCCUGGAUUAAGAUCUUCUUGAAGGGAGUCAAGCUUUUAUGUUUAACCAUCUGAUUUUGUGUUUAUUUAUUGUCAAUUUGAUAGUUUGAAAAUUUUGUUGUGUUUACACCUAAACCAAAUUAUUGUGUUAGCCAAUAUAGGUCGAUAUGUGAUUAAGGUUUAGGCAAGGAAGCCUCCCAGUCAAAGGGAAGGUUGAAGUCUAGGACAGUUGAUCAAUAAGGGAUAAUCAAUUCUUUAUCAAGUUUAGUGAGUAUUGGCCAAUAACAUGGGUCAAAAGGAAUUUAUAUUUAGUCAAAGCUUAGUACGACUUGACAUAAGGCUAAAAAGUAAAGACCCACAUUUCAUGUUUAUUGUGUCACUAACCGCGAAGGGCAAUGAGACAUGAAUCACGUUCUUGGAGAGCUACAAACUAAAAACCAUGUCAUGAUGGAGGAAGCUAAGAGUCGAACUUAGGGCACCAUGAUCCCCUCAACGAGGAAAACUCAUGCACACUAAAGACCGAGUCAUGAUGGAGGAAUCCAAGAGUCGAACAUAGGGCACCAUGACCCCCUCAACGAGGAAAACUCAUGCACUACCCACUAAAUUAACCAAUAUAGGUUAGAUGUUGUAAGCCACGUCAUUUGGCUAGUAGGGAUAGCUUUUGCAUAUAAAUACCUAAUUUUUUAAUUAUAAAUGAUACAUCCAAUCAAACACAAAGUUGUUUUCACUAUUUUUAUCUCUUUACCAAUUUUUCUUUAUCUAUAUUUUUUUAUGCAUUUCGUAGUCUAUUAUCUCAAAACUCUACAAUAACCAUAUUUAAAACUCUAUUGGAGCAGACAAGAAAUCCACUGUUGAAGGACAAAGAUUUGAAACGGAGAUGAGAGAAGUACUUUUAAAGAAUAUGCGAAAAUUGAAAAACGGGUAUAUAAUAAACAGAAACGUUCUUGUAAAAAAAAUAAAAUACAGACGUGUCUAAAAAUUUCAAUGCAAUGUGUGAGAUAAGAAAAUAUGUCCCACCGAUCCUUUAAAUAGUAUUUCCUCUACUUCUUGUUUUUCUUCUUCUUCUUCUUCUUCUUUUUUUCUGCAAAGUUAUUAAUAAUUUUUUAUCAACUCUUUAUAUGAAAAAUAUCGAUAAACAAAAAAUUAUUUAAUCUACCUAAUAUACUUUAUUUAAUCAUUUUUUUUUAUAGAAUUUCAACUCUUCAUGUAACCAUCAUUUUAUUUAAAUUUGAAGAUAACAACAAAAUAAACUUGAGUUUUUCAAAUAGAUAACAUGAAUUAGUUUUAUUAAAAAUGAGUAAGUAUAAAAGUAAAUGAGAAAGAGUAUGAUUGACAUAUCGUACCCUUAAACUAUCAAAACAAGAGUUAAAUAAGAACGCUAAUUCGUACUCAAACGACACUUAAAAAAGAACAAUUUUUUUUGGGGUUUUAUAAUACAUCAAUGGGUUUUUUUCCUCUAACAAAAUCAACAGGGUUUUUUUUGUAGACUAAUUCUAUUUCGUUUUACUAAAUUUACUACACCAUGCCAAUCCGCAUACUUUUGUCAAGCGUUUUGACCCCCUACCCUACAAUGCUUUUACGAAAAUCAUAUUAGAUGUUUUUUAGGGGGGAAAUCAUCUUAGAUAGUUAGGGAAGUGUUAGUUAAAUUGGCUAAUAAGAAAUUAAGUGUGUUGAGUACUUCUUCAGGCCUUCAAAUUUUUUUUAUAGGAUGACGAAGAUUCAAAUUCUAUUUUUUCUAGAAGUAGUUGAGGGCUAAAAUAAGCUGUCAUACAUUGAAGGUUUUAAGAGAUCCAAAAUUUUGUGAACCAAAAAAUUUGGGCUCCCCCUUCAAAAAAAAAAUUUGGGCUCACAAUAUUUUUAUUAAACAUUGAAACCCUACAGUUUUAUCAAAUGUAUUUUAAGAGUUAAUUAAGUAUUUAAUUCCUAUGAGCAUUUUUUUUUGGUACAGAAAAGCGGGCAGAGCCCCCUCUUUGUUAAGCAUUUAAUUGAAUUAUUAUAAAGUUUUAUAUGUACACAUGAAUUGUGAUAUGUUCGGUGAGGAUGGAUGAGAGGCAACGGUGACGAUGAGUCUUUGUGGUGGGACUAAAGGUGUUUGCAGGCACGUUAACGUUCAAUUCAAGUCAGUAAUGGAAUUGAAAGAGUGUAGAAAGUGUUGUGAAAAGUGAAUCAUACCUUGAGGGUGAAACUAAGUCACCCUUAAAUAAUGGCGCGUGAGAAUAGUCGUCUCUGGAAAUUACUGCGUGUGAUAAGGGAGUAUUUAUAGGACACAAGUAUGGUGAUCGUCACGCAGAGGCAUGCUCGAAUGUGAUACGGUGCAUUGAAGUUGAUGUGUUCCUUCAUGCACUGAGUCUUAAGGCGGUGUAUGUUUGGCCCAUGUGUCAGUAUGGGAUUGAUCUUCUGACCGGUCUGUUAUCACGAUUUUGGGGUAUCAAGUCAUUGAUUAGGCUUGAACCUUUCAAUCUUUGAUAUUCUCUAUUUUUUUCUUGGGAAGGGCAAAAUUUGAGAAAACCCUUAGAAAUUCUAAGUUCGGGGGUCGUUUCCGUUACGGAAAGGUGUUAGGCACCCGCAAUGACUAUAGUACUCUAUAGGAGCCGUUUUCUUAGUUCUAUGUCUACGCUUUAUUUUUAAUGCUAUUUAUUAAAAAGAAGUCGAUUAUGUUAAGAAUGGAGGGAGGAAAAUGUUUGAAGUUUUAUUUUAUUGGACUUUGAGAGGUUUUGACCUCUUGCCUACAUACCCUUUUAAGGGAUCAAAAUGCCAUGUAGUUCUCUUUCAAAAAAUGUUUUUUUGCGUGUUUGAUUGAUUUUAGUUUUUUUGGAAAAUGGUUUUGAAGAAGAGAAAGAGGCCGUAAAGGCAUGAGAAAAAAUGGUGAAGAGUUGGUUCAAUUAUUAAAAAGAAACAUAUAGGAAUUUUUAGGAAUUUUUCGCAAGAAAAUUGGACAAGCAGAGGGUUCAGAUAGCAAGAAAACAGGGUGCAAAUAGCAUGAAAUAAGAAAAAAUGCAGAAAUAAACAAACUGAAAACCCAAACCCAAAACCCAUGGAUCCGGAUGCACAGGGAGCGUUGGAUUGAUCCAAGAAACCAAACCCUAGAUCUAAAGGCUCAAAAUGAAGGGAAAGAAUCAGAAAUAAACCGGACCGGUUCAGUUGUUUAUAAAAAGGCUUAUGGACCGGUUUUUUUCAUUUCUUCCUCUCCUUUCUCUCUCUUCUCUCAUUCUAGUGAGAGAAGCUCUCACUUCUCUCCUCCCUCUCUCUCGCCGGAAACCGGAAAUGGAAGAUGAUCUUCAUCUUCUCCGGUGAGGUUUGUUCCUCCGGCGUGGUGGCCGGCCGCCCAAGGGUGGCGGCGCCGCCGCCGGAGUUGAACAAACUUCUCCGAUUUCAAAAUUUUUUACAUUUUUGGAUAUCCUUUUUUGUUCUGAACACGAAUAUGGCACUGGAUUUUGCAUGCAAAGUUCGAAUCAACGUAGAUCUACAUUUCUUUUCGCGGUUUUGAAAGAAACUUUUUCAAGUUUUUUUGUUUUUUUUCGAAUGGAAACUUUUAAAACUCUAUAGAUCUACACUUGAUUCGCCUUUGUUGAUGUUCUUGAGAAAGAAAGAUGAAGUUUGAGUUUUACCUGUGAUUUUCGGUUGGAGAUUUCGAAUAUGUUCUUCGGA